rnacentral:lncRNA from 1 species
UUAAUGAAUAAGUAGACUAUUUGUGGUUCAGUUUAGUUUUACUUGGAUGUAUUUUUGUUUUGAGAUUUUUUUUUUGAGAGAUAUUUUGUUUUGAGAUUUUAAAUCAAAUGUUGUGGAGACAUCAUGGAUUUAUGUAAAUGGUUUUUUACCCCUCAUGAUAGCUAGUUUUCAAAGAUAAAAGGUUUAUAUGUGAGAAAUAGUUUUUAAAAGAUUUUUCGGCUUUUCACAAUCUUAGUGAUUCAAAAUAAGUUUUCGGGUGGAAAACACUUUCAAGUGAUAGAUGUGAAAUGUUUGUGAUUUAUAUGAUGUACAGAUGUGAAUGUAAUUGGUGAAUGGAUGUGGUUGUGACUUAUAUUAUGUGCGACGCCGUGCAAAAAUAGGAGAAACUCUAUCCGUGUGGACAAAGGAUUCUCUAUAAUUGUGGCGGGUCUGUCAUCCCUAGGGUCAAGAUUUUAAAAAAAAAUUAGGCAAUUCCUGCUAACCUGUUGGCUUCAAAUUGAUCCUAUUUUCAAAUGGCCUUAUAAAAAGAGACCCUGGGGCAUGACACAAAAAGCUAUCAAUUAUACAAUCAAAUAACAAAUAAAUUUCUUAUAAGCUGAGAUGUCAUUUUUGAUGAAGAUAGCUAUUGGAAUUGAAAUGAAAGUGCACAAGGGCCAUUAGCAAUUGAGGAAAGAAAGUCGCUUGCACUUCCAAAUGAAGAAGCAGAAGUUUUGCUAGCCACUCCAAAAAGCCAAAGGAAAAAAAAAAGUGAAAAAUCAUGUUUAUCAUUAUCAAAUUUAGAAACCCCUUCUCAAAAGGUAAAAUCAUUGAAAGAAAUUUAUGAAACUUGCAAAUUUACUUUUAUGAUUGCAGAGCUCGUAUGUUUUGAAGAAGCUUGUGAGGAAAAAGAUUGGAAGAACGGAAUGCAUGAAGAGAUGACAACUAUUGAAAAGAACAAAACUUGGAAACUUAUUGACUUGCCAAAAGAAAAAGAAGCAAUUGGCGUAAAAUGGGUUUAUCGUGUGAAGUGUAAUGCAGACAGAAAGGUUCAGAAAUAUAAAGCACGGCUUGUAGCCAAAAGCUAAGUUCAAAAACCUGAUAUUGAUUUUCUAAAACUUUUUCACUUGUUGCUCGUUUGGAAACCAUUCAAAUUAUUUUAGCUUUAGUUGCUCAAAUGAUGGCCUGUUUAUCAAUUCAAUGUUAAGUCAGCUUUUUUUAAUAGAAAUUUGGAAGAAAAUAUUUAUGUAAAGCAGCCAUAGGGUUUGUCGUUAAAGAAAAAGAGAAGAAAGUCUAGAACCUCAAGAAAGCUCUUUAUGACUUGAAGCAAGCUCCUAGAGCAUGGUAUAGUCGCCUUGAUAUCUAUCUUCGGCAACAUGACUUUCAUAGAAGUGAGAGUGAACCUACUUUAUAUGUAAAAGGUGAAAGGUAAAGAAAUUAUCAUUAUUUGUCUCCAUGACAUAUACAGAUUCAUUGGAUCUCCUUAUCCGUGAUUUUAAGAAUAUUAUGAUGUAUGAGAUUCGUUUGUCAGAUUUGAAACUUUUACAUUAUUUUUUUGGUCUUCAAGUUAUGCAAAUUGAUAAUGGUACCUUUUUAACCCAAGUAUAGUAUGUAUUGGACUUGCUCAAAAAAUUUUAGUUGCAAAAUCUUAAGGGAUUUGCAACUUCUAUGAAUCCGAAAGAAAAAUUUACAUAAGAUGUUGGGACCGAAAAAGUUGAUACACGAAUUUUCAAAAGUAUAGUUGGGGGUUUGAUGUAUUUAACACAUUCAUGUCUUGAUAUUAUGUUUUUUAUCAACUUAAUAUCCAUAUUUAUGUAUAUGAUCCUACAAAGCAUCAUCUUGGAGCCGCAAAUUGAAUUCUGGACUACAUUUAGGAAACUAUUAAUUUCGACAUUUGGUGCCACCCAACUACUAAUUUCAAAUUGGUUGCUUUUAGUGAUAGUGAUUGGGCAAGUCUCUAGAUGACAGGAACAGCACAAGUGGACGGAUCUUCAAGUUUGGAUCGGGAGAUGUCACUUGGGCAUCAAAGAAGAAAUCUACUACUGCAUUGUUCUCUAAAGCUGAAUAUAUGGAAGCAACAUCGGCUACCUGUCAUUGGAUGCAAAGAGUUUUGGAGGAUCUACAUCAAGCACAAGAGCAUCCAACAUAAAUAUAUUGCGAGAAUUAAUUGUUCAACCAUCGCAAUGACGAAGAAUUUGGUCUUCCACGGGCGCACGAAGUUGCACAUGCAUCAAAAUACGUCAGCACUUCAUCUGGGAUCUCGUUAACGAUAAGCAAAUAAAUCUACAUAAAAAAUUGUUUCACCAAUUAACAAGUUGCCUAUGAAUGACGAAAGCUCUCUCUCUUGACAAUUCUUUGAAGUUCAAAAGAGCCCUCGAUGUUACUGAAUUUGUAUCAAGGGAGAAUGUUCGAAAAUAUUGCAAAUUUGAUUAUGAUGUAUUAGUGGUCCUAUGAUAUAUAAUGCAAGUAGGGGGUGCAAGUAGUGCUAGUAGUGGGCUAAUUUAGUUAGAAGUUGAUGACUAAGCCAUAUAAAUAGUGGAGUAGUGGUUUUAACUUGUGCAAAAAGGGAGUCAUGGUGUGGAAUUUAUGCUAACUAAUUUUUACAUGCCUAGUAGAUGUAAUGGAGAAAAUGUGCUGAGUUGGGUUUUCUUGGUCCUCAUGUUUCCUUUUUCUAUUUAAAUUCUUAUUUGUAAUUCAACAAAUGUUUAAAUGAAAGUUUUUAUCGAUUUCUUCCACAUCAUUUCUGCAGCAACUUUUAUUAGUGAGCAUUAAUUAACUUUAGAAAGCUUCUUCUGCCUACAACUUUUUUUUCUUUAUUUUUAAUUUUAAACCUUUAUCCAAUUAAUUGGUAAAGAAUAAUUAAUUUUUAAUUUUUCUUGUUUAUCAUAAUUAAAUCAUUAUAAGCAAACCGGUGCAUCGUACGAGUACAAAUCUAGUUUAACUAUAAAUUAAGCAAAAGAACCGAGCCGCAAUAUCAGGGUUGUGUAAGGGGUAUUUAUCCAUACAAUAUUAAUAUUUACAAUAUUAAGUAAAUGGUCACUCAUGACGUAAAUAAAUAAAUAGUUUUGUAGACCCUCCUAGCCUUGUACACGUCCUGCAACACUAAUAAGGUAGCGCUUGGUUCGAAAACAAGGGGGAAUAAGCCCUUGUUCCUCCCUUUAUUUUCAAACAUUCUGUUUGGAUUAGGUACAAAAGGAGGGAUAAGGGGAUUAUCCCCCCUCUUGUACCGAAACACUAAUCAUCCAAAUACUAUUUACCUUAUUCCUAGAAACAACCCAAUUUUCAUCCAAACGUACACUACAACAAAAACGGUCUAUAGCGACACUUUUAAAUAUAGGUACAUAUCAAAAAAGUGCUGCUAGCUAAAAUUACCAACACUUUUAAAAAGUGUUGCUAUAUGUGGGGUCGCUAGAUAUAUAGUGACAGUUAAAGAGUGUCGCUAUAAUCUAAAAAAGUGCUGCUAAUUUACCAACACUUAUUUAAGUAUUUAGCAACCGCCGAAACUCUAUCUCGUUAGCUGCGGUAGCGGAGGAGGACGACAGGAAAGGCUCUUCGUCUAGAAUUUCAGUGGAUUGAGUAAAGAGAGAAGAAAAGAUGAUAAUUGAUUUUUCUUUUUUUUUUUCUUUUCUGUUUGUAAUCGGGCCAAAUGGACUGGGUGUGGUGGGUUGAAUAGAGUAAUCUUUUAUUUUUUGUUGGAUUGGGCUUUAUAUUUAGGAAUUAGUAGAUAUUUUUUUAAGUUUUAAGAUAAAUGGGACACUUUACUCAAAAGUGUUCCAAACAUGUAUCCCUAUAACCUAAUUCUGUUGUAGUGGUAAAAUUGGUCUAAUUCCUACAAAUGCAAUUUAAGGUUUUGGGCCAUGCAUGCACGUGAACAUUAUUCGGCAUCCAAAUUCCCAGGAAAAAGAAGAAAAAAAAGAAAGAUUCGGAGAGUUCUACUUUUUUUUUGUGGGGGCAUGCACUGAUUAUUAUUAAUAUUCAUAAUGCGGCCGACGCAAGUGUUACAGUCUCCGACUGUUGAAUAUGAUAUGGCUCUACUUGGGCUGAUUAAUAGGUGUCUGGCCAUUCCACUGCGCGCCAGAGAGGAGAAACCACGUGUCGUCGUGCUCAACUGUAUUUUUUUUAUAAAUUAAUCUUCUAAAAUUUUAAAAUUUAUAAAAUAAUUAUUCUAAAAUUAUAUUUGUAAAACUAACUCCUCUUUCGCCAUGCAGGCGUGAGGAAAAAUUUUUCUUAUAAAAGCGGUAAAUCGUUCAUCGCCUUCAAUAAGACGGUGAAUGACUCACCGUCUUACUAAUAUAAUUAGCAAAGGUAGUGAAAAUGGCCCAUCAUUUUUUGCUUAUUUAAUAUUUUUUUCUAUAUCUUAUAUAUAAUCUUAACAACCACAUAAAAAUUAUAACAAAUUACAUAUAAUUUUAACAACCUAAAAAUCUUAAUAAUCUAUCAAUACAAUCCUAAUAAUCCAAUAAAAAUUCUAAUAAUCCAAGUAUAAUCCUAAAAAUCUCACUUUUUCCUAUUUUUCAUCUAACAACCUCACAUUUUCCUAUACGUGGAUUAUAUGAAAAAUAGAAAAAAAUUUGAGGUUGUCAAAUGAAAAAUAGAAAAACUGAGGUUGUUAGAAUUAUACGUGGAUUAUAUGGGAAAUAGAAAAAAAGUGAAGCUCUAGAUGGAAAAUAGAAAAAAGUGAGGUUUUAGCAUGCGUAGAUUAUUGAAAUUUUUAUUUGAUUGUUAGAAUUGUAUAAAUAGAUUAUUAGGAUUUUGAGGUUAUUAAGAUUAUAUGUGAUCUGUUAUAAUUUUUAUAUUAGAAUUGUAUGAAUAGAUUAUUAGGACUUUCAGGUAGUUAAGAUUAUAUGUGAUUUAUUGUGAUUUUUAUGUGAUUGUUAAGAUUAUAUAUGAGAUAUAAAAAAAAUAUUAAAUAGGCAAAAGACGGUAAACCAUUUAUCGUCUUUGCUAAUUAUAUUAGUAAGUCGGUGAAUCGUACGUUCACCGCUUUCAUAAAAAAAAAUCAACUCCUAUGCCUAGGUGAAAGGAGGGUUAGUUUUACAAAUAUAAUUUUGGAAGAGUUAUUUUGCAAAUUUCAAAAUUCUAGAGGGUUAGUUCAUAAAAAAGUCCUACUCAACUAGUGAAGUUACACACACGUUGCAGCAGACUGAUGCUAUAAAAGAUAAAAAAAAUUGAUAAAAUAAAAAGUUUUAAAAUUUUUUGACUUGUCGUGAAAAAUCAAUAAAUACAAAUAUAAGAUAUGAAAUAGAUACACAAAAUUUAUAAUAUUAGCAAAUAAAUUACACAUAAUAAUAAUAAAAGAAACAACAAUAGAACACUACUCCAUAUGCAUAAGGGCCUGUUUGGUCUAGCUUUUGAAAAAGUGAUUUCUGAAAAAGUGAUUUUGGUUUGGAAAAAUGAUUUUGGUGAAAAGCUGUAGAGCGUUUGGCUGAGUUUAAAUAAAAAUGAUUUUUCUGAAGUGAUUUUGAAAAGCUGUUUGGCAAAAUUUUUUUUAUUUUGCAUAAAUUAAUAUUUUUAUUAAAUUUUAAUUUAAAAUAAUUUAAAAUCUAAAUUUAAAUUUGAAUUCAAAUUAAAAUUUUUAAAUUUCAAAAAUGCACAAAAUUUAAAAUUUGAUAUUUUAAUUUAAAAAAUAAUUUAAAAUUUUAAAAAUUUCAAAUUUAAAAUAAUUAUGAAAUUUAAAAUUUAAAAAUAUAAUUAUAAAUUUAAAAAUAUAUAUAAUUAUGAAUUUUAAAAUAUAAAAUUUUAAUAUAUAAAAAUAAAAAUUAAAAUUAAAUUAAAUUUAAAAGUAAUAUAUAAAAUUUAAAAAUUAAAAAUUAAAAAUUUAAAUUUAAAUUUAAAAUAUAAUAAUUAUGAAAUUAAAUAUAAAAUAUUAAUACUAAAUAUAUUUAAAUUCAAAGUUUAAAUUUAAAUUUAAAUUUAAAUAAUUAUGAAUUUUAAUUUUAAAUUUUAAAUUUUUAAUUUGAAUAUUUAAUUUAAAUUUAAAAUUUAAAAAUUAAAAUUAAAUUUUAAAAUUUAAAAUAUAUAAUUUGAAGAUUAAAUAAUAAUUUAAAAUUUAAAAUUUUAAAUUUUUAAAUUAAAUUUUAAAAUCUAAAAUGUCUAAUUUUAAAACUUAUCGUAAAUUUGAAAUUUGAAAUUUAAAAUUUAAAAAUUUAAAAUUUAAAGUUUGAAAUCUAUUUUUCAAAAUUUGAAAUUUAAAAAUUAAAAUUUAAAAAUUUAAAAAUGAAUCUGAAAAUUAAAAUUUAAAAUUAAAAUUAAAUUUAAAUUUAAAUAUUGAUUUUAAAAUUAAAAUAAAAAUUUGAAGUUUGAGUUCAAAAUCAGAAUCAGAUUUUAAGAAGCAGCUUUUUUUUUACUUCUGAUUCUGGGCCUUCAAAAUCAGUUUUCGGAUUCUAGAAAGCAUAAUCAGAUUUUAAAAGUGAGGUUGCCAAACACUCUAUUAAGCCGAAAAUCACUUUUCAACCUAACAGCUCUUUUUAGAAGCUAGGCCAAAUACCCCCUUAAUUGCAAUUCUCCACAUUACAUUUGCCGCCUUUGUUAGCGUCGAGCUUCUCUUUAGUCACGGUCACGUCGAUCACGUACAGAUCUCCCCAGACCUACCACUUCUUUCCACUCAUCAACUCCAAAUUCAUUGCUACUUUCUCCCACUGUGUCGCACCGCAAUUCUCAUAACCCUAAUUUCAUCCCUACCCAAUUUUUUAAAAAAGAGUAAUUAUAUGUAAGGACUGAGAUUUUGACAGUGUAUCUAAACUCUCUGCUAACGAUGUUUUUGUGUGUAUUUUAAUUACAAAAGCACUCAAGUUUCGGGAGAAAACAAGUUAGAAUGGAAAUUUUACGCUAUCUUUACUUUUCACUUAAAGUGAAUAGUAAUCCGGAUUUCCGGAGAGGCCAAUGAGUAGUGUUGGCUUCUGGCGCGUAUCAAACUCCGUUCAUAGCGAUCAAAUAACUAUUUGAGAGAGAGGAUGGGUUUUGUCGUGAAUCCGCGACCAAACCAGGUAAAACAAAAUCGUGGAUUUGUUGUCUCUGUCGUGCUGAUCGCAUUGGUGUGAUCCGUUCGCAAAUUUGACGGACGGAUCUCCUGAUAUCGCGCGUUGAUCGUGGAGGGGUUCAUUAAUGGCAAAACAGUAAUUUUGCGAAAAGCUCUUCAUUUUAUGUACCGUUUUGCGUGAAAUUGAUCUUGGGGGCGUGUUCGCGCGUUUUACUCGCGCCGUGAGGGACUCGGUUCUAAAUAUAAGGUUUUAGAGGACUUUUGCACAAAACGAACUCUUGUAUAUACAGCCUUUUGGGAAUUGCACCAUGGAAACCCCAACCCUAGCUCAACUGACCCUCUAGCCGUCACCAGCCACCUCCCUAUCCCUCGCCGUGCUCACCCCGGCUGCCGGCAAGCACCCCCGGCCACUGAAAAGGCCGGCAUUGCCAUCUUCUCUGCCUAAGCCUCCACCACCUCGGCCGUGGACCACCUUGGGGUGAUCCACAGCCUCAGGCCCCUCUCCCUCGGCCGAGAUCUGACCUCCUCCAUCGUCCCCGUCGGCCCUCGCCGCCUUCGCGCGCCGCCUGGGCUACCCGCGGCCAGCCGAGAUCAGCUCGGGCAGAGACCUAGCUUGCUCGCUGCCCGCGAACCGCCGCUGCCCUAGACCUGUCGCGCCGUCAUCCUGCGACCCUCGGCGACCUCCCCCGCCGAUCAUCGUCGUCCCUGCGAGCUGCCGCCAUCGCCUUGAGUUGCGGCCGCCCUAGGUCAGCCCAGGCCGACGAGCUUUAGCUCCCUUCUUGCGUCGCCGCCGCUACCUUGGGUCGGCCAAGCCGUCCUGCCCCGGAGCCCCGGUGACCUCCUCCGCCGCCUACCACUGUCGUCGAGUGCCGUCGCCCUACGGGCUCCCUGGGCGAACUUGGGCCAAGCUGGGCUUGCUGCCUUCCCUCCGCACCACCGCCGCCUGGAGCCAAACCGGCGACGACCCUGCGACCCUCCGGUACCCAAGCCCCCGGCCAGAGCGGCGGCCGCCACCCUCGCCCGAGCUGCGGGCCACCGCUUUCGUCACCCGCCGCCUCCAUCCUCCUCCUUGUGACCUCGGGGGACCCUCGCCGCUGAUCGGCGUCGCCCUGAGGUCGCCGUCGCCGGUGGAGCCUAACCCGAGCUCCUUUUUCCUCGUGCAGGCUAGGGCAUCGCUGCCUGCUUCUCCAGUCGCCUCACGCCGGCGUCUUGUGUGAGCGGCGGCCUCCCCCCACCGGCCGUACCUUCCUACCGCCGGCGGCCAGAUCCCAGCCCCCCUGCCCGGUGAGCUUAGUUUGUGCUGUCUGCACGUAGUUUUGGGUUUGUGAUUGUUUUUCUGGCAAUCCGAGGCUAUCUCAAUACCUCCGGAGGUGAGCACAGUGAUCGCUGGUCAGUGCCGAUCAUAGUGUUAACCUUACUUUGGAUCAGUAGCUUCUGAAGUUGCGUUGUCGGCACGGUUUUCCCCUAGUGCGCGCUGUUCCCUGAAUGUUCGGGUCGCUCCCGUACCUCCCACAGUGAGCCGUUGUGCUCCGGAUCAUGAGCACGGCCUCCGUCUUGUCGAGACCUGUCAGUACGUGUCUCGGCGGACCUCAAAAGUCCUCGGUUUGCGUUAACGAGCCACAAAAUCACCUGAUUUAUAUAAAAUAAUAAGAUUUUAUGUAAAUGUAGGGACUUUUAUGCAAUUGUGCAUCUUGUGGCUACUGUGGACAGUACAUAUGUGUAUGUGGAGACCUCUGGAUUGAUUGUCCAAGGUCCGAUAGCCUUCGCGGAAAUCGAUUGUCGAUUUUGGUGCGUUUUUCCGCGAAAUUUGCUGGCGGAACGCGGUUUCGGUUUGGAUUUCAUCCGACAGCAUUUGGUUGCCCUAAAAGUUGUUGCUGAGCCUUGUCAGCUAGUCACCAUCAUCAUAUCAUGAGUUCGAAGAUAACGGGUGAGCGACGGUGGAUUUCGGAGUCGAAAUUGACACUUCCAAAAACCCGAAUCCGAACAAUUAUCCGGUGAUAAUUGUUUAGUUGUGUAAUCUUGUGUUUGCUGCCAAGACGUCCAAAUCAGUGUGUUUUGUGGCAACGUGUGACUCAUGGCACGAGUCGAUGAGUUUCGGGACACUUAGUGGGUCCCGACGGCGUCCCGGUGUAAUUUUCGGGACUUCUGGCGAGUUAUGGUGAUUGGUUUAAGGAAAACAUUUUGGGGAUUUGUGUGGAGUUUGUGAAUUGGGUAUUUUGGACUGGUGGGUUGGUUACUGACCCGGUGGAUCUUCGUAGGUCCGGUUGACUUGUUGCGCACCCAGGUUCCCGACGCGAUAGUAACAGGUGGGUGCUUCGGGCUGGUAGUCGAUGAGAUCGUUUUUCUUUCCUCUGUUCUUCUAUAUCAGUAUCGUAGUCUCUACAUGUCGGUUGCUUUGGUUUAUUGUUCGUUCAUCUAUACCUUAUUGAUUGCAUGAUAAUAGUUGUUGAUAAACAUGUAGAGCAGGCUUGCAUAUAUUGUAUAUUUGUGGACCUUGGGUCUAGGCAACACAUCGAUUCCUUUCUCGUGUGUUUCGAUCUAGUUGAUCGUGGUUCGGCGUUGUAUGCCCUCUUAUCUGGCUUCGGCCAAGGCAUCGGCUUCUUGCCGGUUUUCGCAUUGAGCAUAUCAAUAUGAUUCAGUCACAGCACUUGGGUGUAUUCAUUGACACCAGGUCGGUUUGGCCACCGACUGGAGGUGUACUUAUCCGAAUUGGUCGUUCAGUGGACAGAUGAAUCAGGUCAGUGCAAGCAAUAUGAUAGGCAACGUUUGAGGUCUGCAGACCAAUAUAGCAGGCACCAGAUUGGGUAUAGUUUUGGAUUAUAUACCCUUGAGGCAUCUGUUCAGUUGAGUUUUUGUUACAGUAGUAGUUUGGCUCUUACUCAUUUACUAUCGUGUUUCUAUUACUACUGUAGUUGCACUUAUAUCACACAUAUAUCAGUUUGUUCUAUCUCCUUUAUUUUUCAGUGAAUAUGAUUUGCCUGCGUGGCUCUGUCGUACCCACUGAGAAACCUUGAUUGUGGUUUCUCACCCCCAAUUUCCCCAGGUGGCUCGGGUAAGGAGUUGGUUUUCGGCACGACGAGAGAACAUACUAGCUAGACUGCAGUAGCGACCGUCACCCUUGUUAUGUUUCAUUUCCGCAUUUAGUAAUUUAAAUAAUUAAAUGGUUCAGUUAGAAGAUCACUAUUGCUGUUUGAAUGUUUAUGAACUGUUUGUGUUGGUGAUUUUCUAUUAUGUGUGCAAUUGGAGAUUUUUGGAUUUGUGGUUUUCUACCCCUCGAGGUAGUCGGUUUUCAAAAUGGAGUUUUCGAGUGGGAAACAAUUUUAAAAAGGGUUUUGAAUGAUUUCAUGGAGGAUUAUAUAGAGUUUAAAAACAAAGCUUCUGGGUGGGGAGUACUUUUAAAUAGGAUGAUUGUUAUACUGUGCAUCGCAUCAUCCAGCGCCUAAGGAGUGCUUAGAGAUAUGCAUCAUCUCUAAGGAUCGCUAGCUGUAUAGAAAUGAAUCGCAUGGAUUGUUUAUGGAUUGGUGAAUGUAAGUUGUUGUUGUGAUUCUGAUGUUAUUAUUGGUACGCUGUGCAAAUAUAAAGGAGACUUUGUUCGUGUGGCCAGAGAAACUUUGUAUUUGUGGCGUGUCUAUACGUCACGUGGGCCAAGCUGAAUUCAAAAAAAAAAUGGCACAAUUUCUGCAACUCUGAUUUUAAAAAUUGUACUCAUUACAAAAAGGCUUUCAAAAUCGGCCCCAGGGCGUGACAAAUUAAGAUGGCAUCAGAGAUUGAAACAAGUACAACUACAUUUACAAGCUUUCUAACUGAACUAUUGGUUACAUUGACCUUAAGAAGACCAUAAAAUUGUAGGCGUGUGCGAACGCGGGGUAUUCGAGAUUUAAUCUCGAGGUUAUCAAGCUAGGAGACUCGAAGGUUGAUUUGUAUUUAUUACCUCGUAUUUCUUGUGUUGCAGGAUAUGGCAUGUACUCGUUUUGGUGUUAGGAGUGGGUGCAGUGGGUGGACUAGCUCUGAGCAGUGAGGUGUCGACAGGCUGCUUUUACUACUGUGAUCGCCUCACCUCCAACACGGGACUCGUAAGCCUCUGCGAGUCAAUCCGCAGGCACACACGGUUUCACUUUUGGGUUAUAUCGGAUGGUUGUGCUGGUGGAAAUAUCAAGGCGGAUGUUUCGAUCUUUUUGUGGUUCUUUGUCAAUGUGGUGUGUGCCGGAUCUAGCUAAUGUACAGUCGUGAUGUUAGAUCUCUGUUUGUGCAUUCAAGUGCAUUAUAAGGUUAUUGGUCGGCUUAGUUUUUGUGUCACGUCUCCAACUUGCUGUUGGCGAUGGAUCUUCGGGUAUUUUACCUUUCUUUCGAUAAGUACAUUGACUGCAGAUAACGUAAUGUUGAAAGUUGGGACGAAAUACCCUACCCCUUUUGGGAAUACUUGAAUCGGGUCAGUAUUUUCUCGUGUAAGACUAUCUCUUAGACCGUCUUGUGGAGAGGCGACGAUCAUCUUGACCACCUAGUGAGCCUGGUGGUUGGAUCAGAUGUCGUGACUUGUGAUAUUGUACAAGGUAUACGAUUUGGUUUAUCGUGAAUACCAUGGAUUGGAUUGUUGUUCGGUCACUUGGUGAGAGGUACGUUGGAGUCUCGAUGAGACUGGCAUUUAGUGUUGCUAGAAAUAUCGAUCGCUUGGGUCCCUUGGGGAUGACAGCGACAGGGUCUCGUAGAGACAGAUGUUGGGCAUCACUGGUGAUUACGGUCGCAUGUUGCGAGAGGCAACUCUGUUCACCUAGUGACAGAUCUGCAUGGGUUUUUUUUUUUUUUGUUGAUCUGUUUGUACCCGAAUGUGUUUUGAGCAGGCUAAAUUGUCGGGCUCAACUAGUAAUGGCAGCCUUAGACCUUUUGGUCUAGGCGAAAGGUUAGGUCUUGGACCUAAAAGAGUUGGAUGCCAUCGAAGGGUCACGAUAGUUAAGGUUUGGCUUUGUCUGAUCAUAGUUCGGACUGUUGGGAGGUUGUAGCCUCCGAGGUGAGUGUUGGUACUCUAGUUUAAGGGCUUUCCUGCCACGGUAAAAUAGCUGUGCUUGGUGCGUUAGUAGAGUGAUAUCCGAAUUUGUUUUCGGUGGUGUAUAGGCAAGUUUCGAGAACGAAACUUUCUUUAAGGGGGGGAUGAUGUAAGAACUGAGAUUUGGCAUUGUAGCUAAACUCUCUGUUGAUGAUAUUUCUGUAUGUAUUUUAAUUACAAAAGCACUCUUCAAGUUUCGGGAGAAGACGAGUUAGAAUGAAGAUUUUAUGCGAUCUUUACUUUUCACUUAAAGUGAAUACUAACUCGGAUUUCCGGAGAUGCCAAUGAGUAGUGUUGGCUUCUAGCGCGUAUCGGACUCCAUUUAUAGCGAUCCAAUAGCUCUCUUUCAAUGGUCCGACUAUUCUGAAACCAUUGGCGCUGACGGAUUUUAGAUUUGACGCACGAAUUUCGAGAAAUCUGAAGAUACAUGCAUUUUAUGUAAUUGUGUGUGGUUUUAACUAUUAGAGAGAGAGAGGAUGGGUUUUGUCGUGAAUCCGCGACCAAACCAGGUGAAACAAAAUUGUGGAUUUAUUGUCUCUGUCGUGCUAAUCGUACUGGUGCGAUCCAUUCGCAAAUCUGACAGACAGAUCUCCUGACAUCGCGUGUUGAUCGUGGAGGGGUUCAUUAAUGGCAAAACGAUAAUUUUGCGAAAAACUCUACAUUAUAUGUACCGUUUUGCGUGAAAUUGAUCUUGGGGGUGUGUUCACGCGUUUUACUCACACCGUGAGGGACUCGGUUCUAAAUAUCAGGUUUUAGAGGACUUUUGCGCAAAACGAACUCUUGUAUAUACAGCCUCUUGGGAAUUGCACCAUGGAAACCCUAACCCUAGCUCAGUUGACCCUCUAGCCGUCACCAGCCACCUCCCUACCCCUUGCCGCGCACACCUCGGCCGCCGUCAAGCACCCCCGGCCACCGAAAAGGCCAGCAUUGGAAAAAAAAAAAAACAUGGCACGAUUUUCGCAACUUUGAUUUAAAAAAUUGUACUCAUACAAAAAGGCUUUCAAAAUCGGCUCCGGGGCAUGACAAAUUAAGCAAAUUAUAAAAUAUGAAUCUUUUUUGUGCCCCUCUCUAAAAAAAGAAAAAAAAAAUUGAGAAAAAAGAACAUUAAGAUAUCUUAAUUUACUUUUCUUUUUUGUGAAAGGAAAUCCCAAUCUUCAUGUCGCCUCCACCGCCAUUAUCAGCGUCGAGUUCCUCCUUGGUCACAGCGACGUUGAUCUCGACGGAUUCCUCCACACCCACCGCUCCUUCCUCCUCACUAACUCCAAAUCCAUCGUCGCUUUCCUCAGCCGUGCCGUGUCGUGAUUUCCAAAACCCUAAUUUCAAUCCCUAUAUAAUUUUUUAAAAAAUAAGAAAAAAUUUAAAAAUAUUAUAAACUAUGAACCUUUCUUGUGUGCCAAAAAAAGUAAGAAAAAAGUGUAUGAAAAUAUCUUAUUUUAUUUAUUUCUUUUGAAAAAUUGAUUUAUUUAUAUGACAAUGAACCAUAUGAACAUAUUAAUUAGGAAGUAGGUAGGUAGAUCGACGAAACAUCACGCUGAAGAUAAGAGAUAAUAAAUUCGAUCAUUAGGAAGAGGGGAGAAGGCGUGCCAAAAAAAGUGAGAAAAAAGAGUAUAAAAAUAUCUUAUUUUAUUUAUUUUUUUGUAAACUUGAUUUGUUUAUAUGACUAUGAACCAUAUGAACAUAUUAAUUAGGAAGAAGGCUUGCCAAAAAAAGCGAGAAAAAAGAGUAUGAAAAUAUCUUAUUUUAUUUAUUCUUUUUGUAAAAUUGAUUUGUUUAUAUGACAAUGAACCAUAUGAACAUAUUAAUUAGGAAGUAGGUAGGUAGUAAGACGAAACAUCGUGCUGAAGAUGAGAGAUAAUAAAUUCAAUCAUUAGGAAGAGGUAGGGGUGUAAACGAGCCGAACACGAGUGAGCUAGGGUCGGCUCGUGUUCAGCUCGUUUAUUAAACAAGCCGAACACGAGCUGGUUUCGUCUAACUGUAUCAAGAUCGAGAAAUCUCCGCUCGUGUCCGGUUCGUCUGUUAUCGAGCCGAACACGAGCGAGCUGAUCCCUGCUCGUGUUUGGCUUGUUUAUCAAACGAGCUGAAAAAUUCAACUCGUAUUCAGCUCGUUUGCUAAAUAAACGAUUCGAUUUCGAGCUUAUUUCGAGCCGAACACGAGCUGGCUCGUGAACAGCGAGCUGGAUUGCCACCCUAGGAAGAGGGAAGAAGGCAAGGGUGAAUGAGGCAUUACCAUGUGGCAAAGUUUAUAAGGAAUAAUAUAUAGGUAUAGAUAGAUAGAUGUCACUAACUAACAGCCUGUUUCACUCCUAGCAUUUUUGUUUCGUUUUAGAAAAUAGCAACCAUUAUUCAUUUGAAUAUAUAUAGAGAGUUGAGUUGGAAUACUAUUAAUAGUAUUUGGGCUCUUUUACUAUCAAUUUUUUAACCACUAGAUCUAUAAUUUGAUCAAUUUUAUCUUUUAAACCAUAUAACCAUUAGAUCUAUAAUUUGAUGAAUUUUUACCUUCUAAUUAAACCAUGCUAUUCAAUAAACCUCCCACUCAACCCUAGGGGACCACCACUAAACCCUAAGGGACCACUAUUAUCCUACUACAAUUUUUCAUCCAAAGGUUAAAAACUCCAUAGCAAAAGAGGCCAAAUCUAUAGACAUAUUAAGUUGUCAGUUUUCCUGUGGCCGACGUGGCCGCUCCCCCUCUCUGGCGUUUCUUCUCGGGCAGUUGCGGGCGCAGGAGGGGGGCGAGCGGGCGCCGGGCGCGGGUCACGCGCCGCUCACAUGGCAGGCCCUCUCUCUCUCUCUCGUUCUCUCUCUCUCUCUCUCCGCGCACGGGAGGUGAGGGUCGCCCGCACAUGGCGGGCCGCCCCCCUCGGCUCUCUCUCUCUCCCCCUCUCUCCCUCUCCCCACUACUAAGCCCCUCCCGUCUCUCUCUUUCUCUCUCUCUCUCUAGACAUAUUACUUUGUCAGUUCUUUUAUGGCCGACGUGGCCGCUCCUCAGCGCUCCCUCUCUCUGGCGUUUCAUCUCCGGCAAUCGCGGGCGCGCGAGGGGGCGAGCCGGCGCCUGGCGCGGGUCGCGCGCCGCGCACAUGGCUGGGCCCCUCUCUCUCUCUCUCUCCGCGGGCGGAGGGUGUCGGUCGCCCGCGCAGAUGUAGAGCCCCCCCGGCUCUCUCCUCUCCAUCUCUCUCCUCUCCCCACCCUAAGCCCGUAUUCCACGUCUGUUCUCUCCUUUCCUUUCUCUCUCUCGCCUCUCCUCACCUCUCUUCAGCCGUCACUCUCUCUCCCCAGUCUCUCUCCUUCUCCGAGCGCGCGGGGGGUGGCGGGUCCGCCCCGCCACAUGGCGGGCCCUGCCCCCGGUACUGGACUCCCCCUCUUCUUCAUCCUCCCCUCUUUCUCCUUUCUCUCCUCUCUAUCUCCUCAUGCCACCCGUAAGCCCCCAUACUCUUCUCCUCCUACCUCGCUCUCCGCCUCUCUCCUCUUCCUCGUCUCCUCUCCUAUUCUUCUGGCCCACCUAACCCCGUGAUCUCCUCUCCAUCUCUCUCUCUCUCUCUUUUUCUCUCCUCUCACCCUCGGCUCUCCCUCUUCUCUUCUUUUUUCCCGGNNNNNNNNNNNNNNNNNNNNNNNNNNNNNNNNNNNNNNNNNNNNNNNNNNNNNNNNNNNNNNNNNNNNNNNNNNNNNNNNNNNNNNNNNNNNNNNNNNNNNNNNNNNNNNNNNNNNNNNNNNNNNNNNNNNNNNNNNNNNNNNNNNNNNNNNNNNNNNNNNNNNNNNNNNNNNNNNNNNNNNNNNNNNNNNNNNNNNNNNNNNNNNNNNNNNNNNNNNNNNNNNNNNNNNNNNNNNNNNNNNNNNNNNNNNNNNNNNNNNNNNNNNNNNNNNNNNNNNNNNNNNNNNNNNNNNNNNNNNNNNNNUCUUUAGAUAGGAUGAGUGGGCCCCCUAGGGUGAUGUGGAUGUUGGUUGAUUAGUAAUAUCUAGAGCGUAAAAAUAAUCAAAGGGAUUAAAUUCUCGAACGGCAGGAAAGCUUGAUGCACAAGUGCUUUGGUGCUUAUCGAUAAGCUAUACAGUCAGACGCAUAUAUAUAUAUUAUAUAUCUAUAUAUAUAUAAUAUAUAUAUAUAUAUAUAAUAUAUAUAUAUAUAUAUUGAUAAUAUAUAUACUAUAUAUAUCUUAUAUAGUAUUAUAUAUAUAGUAUUUUAUUAUAAAUAUAUAUUUAUAAUAUAUUAUAUAUAGUUAUUGAUAUAUAGUGUUUAUUGUAUAUAAAUAUAUUUUUAUUUAUUAUAUAUAGUAUUUUAUUUUUAUAUAGAUAUGGGUUGGGCCUAGAGGGGGAAACGGAAAAAUGUUUUUUUUUUCCCUUUUUUCACUCUCUUCAAUUUUUUCCAUUCUUUUUUCUAAAGUCUAAUCUAAUUUUUUAUUUUUUAAUAUAAAAAUUUAAAAUAUAUAAAUAAUGUUUAAAUAGGUUAUAUUAUUUGUAUUAAAUAUAAAUUUAAUCUUAUACUAUUAAGCAUUUACUUAAUAUUCACUUAAUACAAAUUUUUAAUAUUUAAAUUUUAAUUUGAAUUUAAAUUAAUAUAUUAUAAAGAUAAAAUUAGCAUAUUAAUCUGAUUACGUUUUUUAUAUUUUCAUGAUUACAUUUUUAUAUUUACAUGAACCAAACACCGAUAAUGGGAAUGAUUUAUUCCGAUUGCGAUUCAGAUGAUGAGUCAAACAGAAUUAGGUAAUGAGUCAUUCCGAUUCCGAUUCCAGCUUAUUUCGAUUUCGAUUCCGGCUUCGAACCAAACAUGCGAUUCAGAUGGUGAACCAAACAGAAUUAGAUAAUGAGUCAUUCCGAUUUCGAUUCCAGCUUAUUUCGAUUCCGAUUUCGAUUUCGACUUCGAACCAAACACGCCCAUAGAUUGUAUCUUUAAAAAUAAAAAAAAAUUUGAUGACAUUUAAGUUAAUUUUAUUAUAAAAUUUAGUUGUAAGAAUCGCAUAAAAUAUACUAUCUACAUUUGCGGAACUAUGCGAAACAUUCGAAUUUUUAAAGAUAUUAUUGAUUGACUCAAAUCUAAUAUAUCGAAAAAUUAAACCUCUCCUCAUAUUUGGAGAAAAAGAUUUAUUUUUCCCUCCUCAUAUUUGGAGAAAAAGAUUUAUUUUUCCCUCCUCAUAUUUGGAGAAAAAGAUUUAUUUUUCCCUCCUCAUAUUUGGAGAAAAAGAUUUAUUUUUCCCUCCUCAUAUUUGGAGAAAAAGAUUUAUUUUUCCCUCCUCAUAUUUGGAGAAAAAGAUUUAUUUUUCCCUCCUCAUAUUUGGAGAAAAAGAUUUAUUUUUCCCUCCUCAUAUUUGGAGAAAAAGAUUUAUUUUUCCCUCCUCAUAUUUGGAGAAAAAGAUUUAUUUUUCCCUCCUCAUAUUUGGAGAAAAAGAUUUAUUUUUCCCUCCUCAUAUUUGGAGAAAAAGAUUUAUUUUUCCCUCCUCAUAUUUGGAGAAAAAGAUUUAUUUUUCCCUCCUCAUAUUUGGAGAAAAAGAUUUAUUUUUCCCUCCUCAUAUUUGGAGAAAAAGAUUUAUUUUUCCCUCCUCAUAUUUGGAGAAAAAGAUUUAUUUUUCCCUCCUCAUAUGUCACGCCCCGGAUUGCACGAUCACCGGGCACGCCGACAAAUCCGCCGUAUACAAGAAAUUUUUUCUGUAUACGAAGCGUAGCAGUACCUGUACAACACACAAGGCUACGAACAGUAGCGUAGAGCUGAAACUAAAACAAACUGAACAGGUAGAGAAAGAACGAGUCUAUAUACAUACAAAAAUCUCUAUACAAAAGCACUCGCUCCAACGAGUUCACAAAUAUGUACAUAGCUCCCAAANGAAGGGAUUUCGGUGGCCUACUCACCUCGACAACCGCCCUGGGAGCAGCACCACGUCGAGGAUGGUAAGGGACAGCAGUCGCCCGGCCUCCUCGCAGCGUCACAAUGUUGAAAGCACCCUCGAUCCGCUCCGCGGCGCGUCGUCGACGAAGCUUGAGCUUCUCCCUUGAGCUCCUCCACCACCUCUACUCAGCCAAGGGGGAAGAGGAAGAAGCACAGCAGAGGAGGAAGAAGCCCUCCCCCCUCUCUCCUCCCUGCUCUUAAGGUAAGGGAAAAAGUGGUGACAAGACUAGAGAGGAAAAAGUCAAACAGCACCAUACCUGUCAAAGUGUACCGGUACAGCUCACUGAAAAUCUGCUAUUUCGCAGAUCUUCAAGAUACACGCUGCUCUCAAGUUCCCACAAGGCCCGUUUGGCGUCCACUUCGCGCCAACGCGACCCGGACUUGACCCGACACUCUCCAGAGCUGUCGACAAGCCUCAGCUAAAAUUCCCGGUCUCUACAUCAUAUCUGGAGAAAAAGACUUUUUUUUUUUUUAGCGGGCGACCCACUCCUCUCUCUCUCUUUUUCCUUUUUUUUUUUCCCCUCUUUUCUAUCUUUUUUUUUAUUCUAUAUGAUUGUGGAUCACAUAAAAAAUUUAAAAUUUAAAAUUUUGUAGAAAAUUUAAAACUUAAAAGUUAAAAUUAUAUAUUUUACCUUAAUUCCUAAAACUAAAAUUUUACUAUUUUAAAUUUUAAAUUUUAGUUUUUAUAUUUUAGAUUUUAAAUUUUAUAUUCAAAUUAAAUGAUAACAACGGAACCAUAGGAAUAUAUUCUUAUAUACUUUUAUUCCAAGUUUGAUAAAUAAUAUUGAAUAGUUUAUUCAAAUAUUUUAGAAAUUGCGUAAAUUUUCUGCUGUGAAGCGCGAGCCUUCACUAGUACUAUUAAUAGUAUUGCAACCCAAUUUUAUAUAUAUAUAUAUAGAGAGAGAGAGAGAGAGAGAGAGAAACUAUUAUACUAUUGAUAGUACCAAGCGCCGGGUGCUAUUGAGUUUCUGGCCGUUAGAUUAAAAAAUAUACGGUUAGAAUGAUACUGGUCCCUUAAGAUUGAGUAGGUGGUUGAUUGAAUAGUAUAAUCUAAUAGAUGAAAAUAAUCAAAGAAUAAAUCUAACAGUAAAAAACUCGACAGUAUCAAGAGCUUGAUAUUAUUGAUAGUAUAAUAGUCGGACUCUCUCUCUCUCUCUCUCUCUCUAUAUAUAUAUAUAUAUAUAUAUUGUGNNNNNNNNNNNNNGCCCAAGGCUCAACAACAAGGAUCAUGUACAUUUAGUUGCCCAGGUAAACAUAACAACAUACAUGAAUCAUUGCGAGUAUAAUACAAACAAGAGUAAAAGAGAGAAAGCUAACUAUUACAUUCAUCAUUCAACCAUUUACAUGUUCAUCUCAAAAUACAUUCAACUCUCCAAAAGUAACCUUACCCAAUAUACAUCAUGUCUCUCAACUAUACAUGGUUUUCUAAUGCAUAAUGGAGGCUACUAACUAGUUAGGGCACUAUGCCCUUACCACGAUCCUUGCCCGGUCCACGCGAGCUCGUCCCUGCAACAAAGUGGGAUGAGAACUAAUAAUAAUUUCCAGUGGGUUCGGCCGCCGACUCCGCCGAUCUUCCCACUAGGUCUUAGCAGGCAUAAGUAGAGAUAUAAUGGAAUAAUAAAAUCUGCUAACAUAGUAAUGAAAUCUGCUAUCAUACUACUAUGCCUCAAUCAACAUUAUACAAAUGAAGUAUCUACUUAGCAAUGAACCAACUAUCAUGCUAAUAUGCUUCAACAACAUCAUGGAUAAAGAUAUGAACAUAGCUAUGAAUUCUACUAACAUGUCACUAUGUCUCACAUCAUGCUAUGAAUGCAAAAUCUACUAUGCCAUUCAUAUACCUGUUGCCCAAUUACCUUGGCUAACCCGAAGGUUACGCCCCAACUCACAUCUCAAAUCCCAUAGGUGAGGAGACUCUGCUCUACGCACACCCAAGACCGCCUGCUGGGUAAUUACCUCGUUAACCCAUCGUGUGAUAACUCCGGAGCUCACUGCUUGGGUGGAGCGACCACCGCCAAGCUCAAAACAGACUAUGUGAGUACGAUUAAUUCCCCUCAACUUAAGAAUAACCUCUUCUGCCAGGGUUAUAGUGCUUCUGCCGCACAAGUUCAACUUGAGGAUAACCCUUUCUGCCAGGGUUAUAGUGCUUCUGCCGCACAAGUUCCAAAUGCCACAAAUCAACAACUCGGGAAAUAUCUACCAAUCCCAAUAUUCAUGUCGUAGUGUUUAUGCUACAUAAUCCCAAAACAUGUCAUAGUGUUUCUACUACACUAAUCCCAAAACAUGUCAUAGUGUUUCUACUACACUAGUUUCAUAAAUCAUAUAACAACAACUCAGAAAUUCUUCUAUCCUAUGUUCAUGUCGUAGUGCUUCUACUACACUAGUCCAAAUGUCAUUCUUCUAUGUCAUUUACACGUUCAAGUUCAUCUUUUGUUCUUUAGCACUAUAGGAUUCCAUGACAAAACCCAAUCCUUAUGCAUCCAUUAGAUCAUGUAUCCAACUCACAUUUCUAUUUCUACAUUGGAAGCAUGCAAGGAAUUGAAUACAACUAUCCAACAUAUCCUAUAAUGCAUGAUAACAAUAUAUGAAAUGUAUGAUUAACAAUACAACUUGGACAUAGAAAGAAAUUCAACUGCUUCGGAUAGCACCCCCCACCUUCUGGUUAUGCCGCGAUGCUAGAACCCUAGACUCGCAAUUUAUGAACGUCGUUUCGGCCCGACUGCACGCAAAUGAACCGAAAACUAUACUUUUCUUCAAUAACUCGCCGCAUGUCCGUAGGAAUUUCAAUUCGAGUUGCCCACAGUGUCGGUUUUACCUUUAAUUAAGUUUACAUAAGCUCAAUUUAGAUCAAACCCAACUAUGAUCAAAAGACCUCUUUUGAAACCCUUGAAACCCCUUUAUUGCAUGGUUUUCCUAUUUAUUGCAUAGUAUCCAAAACCCUUCAUGAUUUAUGCACUAUUGUAGGUUAAAAUCAUAUAGGGUUUCCAUUUAUCUCAUUUCCAAGGUUUUACGCCAAAACCCUAACUCAACGUUAAGAAAAUCUCACCUCAACUCAAGCUUCUUCCCAAGCUUAGAAUGAAGAAGAUGAUGGCUUGACCUCCAAGUUACUCCUCUUCAACUUAAUCUUCUCCAACUUCACCUCUCUAACGGAGAAAUUGCUAGAGAGAGAAAGCUAGCAGAGAGGAUUUGAGAGAAGAGAGAGAAAGAGAAAGAAAAGCCUCCUCCAAGCUUCUCUUGGGUUGGACAAAACUAGGGAGAGAGUUGUGUGGGUUCACAUAUAUAUAGGCCCCCCAAACACUAUUACAAUUUUCAAUUUAGCAGUUCAGAAUCUGAUACUUUUCGCCGGAGCCUUUCUAAAUGUCCGUUUGUUCUCAAAUUUGACAGUCAGGCUCGGUUUAACUUAACAAGAUGAACGAAAUUUUAAUCUUUCAGUUUUGACCAUUUUUUGUCACCGAAAGCUCUACCGACUAAAAUCUCUAAAAGAUAGCAGUCAGAUUUUAUUUUUCACUUUUCAGGUGUUGGAAUGACAUGAAACUUUAAAUCUAACCUCAUAAAAAUAAUUCCGACAUAUUCUCUAAUUUUCAUAAUUUUCUGACACUGCGAAUUCUCUGCUAAAAUAUCAGCUCCGUUUCUUACAGAAAAUUCUAAAUCUUCUGUUUCCAUUUCAAUUUCAGCACAAGUCAUUCCCGACUUACAUUUUACUUCUUCAAGUCCAAUAAAAAAUAGUAUCUCACACUAUUUUUAUUUAUAUUUAUUUUUAUAUUAAAAUUCGGUACAUUACAUUCCACCCUCCUAAAAAAAAAGUUUCGUCCUUAAAACUUAAACCACUCCUCAACUCCAUUUCUCGAGUAAUUGAGGGUACCAACACAUUGUCCCACUCCAGAGCGGCUUCACACUAUUGUGGUUACUUAAGCGGCUCAUACUGAAGAAUGUAGGUUCAAUCACAAACACACUUACGGAAUGUGAUACAAGAAGUGCAUUACCGGUCCCACAAGUCUCGGUGGCAGCGCGAGUCAAUACCCAACGACUCUACACGCUCCAACACCGCUCGCCACCCAGCACACGAAGGACUCAUCCCUCGAACACUCUACUGAACACCAUUUUCUUUUGAGAUCAGGACUACCCCCUAUCCUCAUGGUGUGGAUCUAGCAAAAUACAUCAACUAGCCGAAUGGUCCACCACCACGACGCAAUACGUACGGGUAGGCCUCCUCGAACCACUCAAGUGUUCACAAAGUGGCACUCCACCACUCCGGCCAUCCAAGAGUUUGGUAUAACUCUUCCUCGCAUUUCUCGUCCCUUCAGGGAACACACUUCAAUUCGAUCACCGGCAUUGCUUAGAAGCAAUAUCAAGGGUGCAUCGUUCCAUCGCGAGUGUUCCAAUCGGAACCGGAUCCUUGCUCUACUACAAGAUGGCGUACUCCGGCACAUUUCCAAUCUCAAUCCUCAAAAGAGCAUUAGUCCUCAAACUCCGCGUGGCUAUUCAUUAUUCAAAUGUCUCCUAGAGACCACUUUACUUUUUUUUUCCAUUGCCACGGCCAACGUCAAUUCGUUCUUACAACGAGCUCACACGAACACUCUGUUCGUGAAUCCAAGCCAAACUCCUUGACAGAGUUUUCUGCCAAACCGCUUAUCUCGGUUUCCACAGUGGAACACAGGCCACCAGCCCUACAUAGGCCCACCGCCGAAACUUGUCUCAACUACGCACGGCAUCUCUCGCUCGCAAGCGUAGACCCAAACAUCACUGGGCGAAAUUCUCAUUCAAGAAUUUGCACACACUCCAACCAGGAGCAACCAUGACCCCAAACCACGUCAUAUCCUCGGGUUGGGUCACCACCGCAUCUACAGUGUAUUAUCGAUAACACGAUCCAUCACGUGGCAUUCCAUGCUCCCGGGUCUAAGCUCGGACUACCGCCCCAACCAAAAUCUCUACCCUACCCGUAGGUACCAGGCCGUUGUUUCACACAGCUGACUGCGCCUGCCCAAAGGCCCCGGGCUCCACAGCCCACAAUAGGUCCAGGCACGGAUCGUCCCCAAACAAUACCUGCCAUCGUCGUCCUACUCGACAUGCUCUACCGAGCCAUACAUACUGCUAUCGGCUCCUAAGCACCUAGUGCAAGCCACCUGUCCUACAAAUAAUCCAUACCGCGUAAUGAUCAAUUUGUUAAAAAGUAUUUCAAAUAAGAACGAACUGUUAUGAUCAAUCUUUUAAAAAACAGCAUUCCUGUCCAUCUAUUUUAUAAUAAAACUUAAAAUUGAAUAUAAAUCGUGAAUUAGAUUUAAUUUUUGAUAUCUAAUUUGAAUUAACAAUUAAAAAUUUUAAUUAUAUAAUGGAUCAAAAUUAAAUUUUAAAUUUUGAAAUAAAUGUCAAUUAAAUUUUCAUGAUUUUAGUUAAAAACAAAUACUUAAAUCUUAGAUUCAUCAUAAAUCGAAAAAUAUAUAAAAAUAUUUAAUGUAUAUUAAAAAGAACAAUAUAGAAUAUUGCAAAUAUUUUCUAAUAAACUAUAACACAUAAAUUUAUAAAUUAUAAUUUUUAUUAUAAAUUUUUAAAUAAAUUAAAAUAAUUAUUACGUGUAUUUGUACGUACAUUCAACUAAUAUAUAUACAUGAGUAGAGCUACUGUGCUGUUAGUAGCACAACAACUAUUAUACUCCUAAGUUCAUAACUAUCUAUAAAUUUUUAUGGAUAGUUAGGGUUGAUAUCUCAUUUCUUUCAUUUCUUUCUCAAUUUCUCUUCCUUUUUAAUUUCUCCCCAAUUUUUUUUUUUGUCACUCACCCUAACCACCCAUCAAAAUUGAUGAAUGGUUACGAACUUAUAGAUUAUUGGGAAAAUCUUUCUCUUUUUAUUCUCAGAUAUCUUCACUUUAGCUAGGCGCGUUGUAGUGUCCUGUUAGUUGUAUGCCGUAGAAGCCUAUCAGGCUGACGCAUUUUAUUUUCUAUGGGACAUAUAUUUGUACUUAAUCUUUAUUAUUUAUAUAAUUGGGCUUUUUAUUCCAUUCAUGUUAAAUGUGUCCAUGAAUCGUCCUUUGAAUUAAUAAGAUGAUAAUAUGUAUUCUCAAGAGUUGAGAAUUUGAGAUACAUAUUAUUGGUGAUUAAUUCAUAAAUGCUCUCAAUCGGAGGAUCAUCAUGGGGACGAUGAUAGAUCCGGUAAGAUUGAUGUGUGUGCCGCUUUCCUUUUGGGAUGACGAAUCUCGAGUCAUCAGUGUGGGGACACUGGAGCGAACAUGCAGGUGGUUGUUGGAGAACAACGGUACUGAGCGUGACCAACUACGAGCAGUUGCAUGGAUGUCUACUCAUUCGUCAGUAACUGGUUCGAUGUUGCAGUGGUACAACUGAUCCUUAGACCUGCGACACCACGGUCAUUCAAUAUGAGGCUACUGUAGUUUGACUAUGCAACAAACUCUGAUCCUAGCCAUGGGUCUUAGUAGUAUAUGUUGGCUGCAGUCGGUUCAUAUCAGGAAUGGGUCUGUGUUUAUAGGGGAUCUAUCGCUCUCGGUAGAGAGAUAAUUAGUUCUAUGCUAUUUGUAAGGCAAAGCUCAGAAAUCCUCGGCCGGGGUAAUAUGGUGUAUGGAAAGAUGUUUCCAAGAGUAACCAUAAGAGCUUUUGUCUGAUCAAAUUUGUCAUAUGNUAGAUCAAAAGGAAAUCAAAGAGGGCUCCCUUACCUCUCCUCUUGCUGGUCCCAAGCUCAGGAGAAGACCCCUAGGGUGUAGGGGUACUAAUAAGAAGUCCACAAUCGCAAAAAGCCCCCUGCAGUUCAAACUGCACGAAAUCAGCCCCUUUGUACUGGUACACAGGCUCUUGUACCGGUACAAGGUCCACGAAAUCCAAACCCGAGGCUCGGGUUGCUGGGCUCUGCGGCUCUGUAUCGGUACAAGCUCCGAUGGCUGUACCGGUACAACCAUCAACCUUGUACCAGUACAAGCACAACCUUGUACCGGUACAAGCCCGCCAAAAUUCAAUCCGAGAGUCAACCAAAUCCUAUUUUUUCGGGUUUUGGUGCAAGGCUUUGUACCACAAAUCUCGGGACACGUGCCAUAGGUCGGAACACAGUCAACGACCCACCAGAAAAUCUGGAAAAGCUCAGAACACGGCCAAUCACUCGAACCUCGCAAUUUGCAAAGGUCCAGUGUGUUACACAUGUACAUUCAUGUUAUAGUUGCCUUAUUACUUAUGCAAAUCAUGCUAAGUAGAGACAUUAUGCUAUAAUGAGUUACAUUUUUACUUACCUUUUUUCUUACUACAUUUUUGUCACUGACCUGCUCUUUAUAGCUUUUGGGCCUUGUGGCGCAGUUCACUGAAGUCAGUAAUUGCCCACUGGGAACUGUUUUUAAUAGUUCUCACGCCCUCGUUUUCGUGGUUUCUUUCAGAGCCUUCGGCACCGGCGGAGACACGGGAUCGUGGCAAGGGGAUCGCAUAGCUAGCUAACGAGGAGCGGUUCUUUGCCUAGGUGGUUUACUCUUUCUUUUUGUAGUUGAGAGAGUGAGAGAUUUUGUUUCCAUGUAUAGAGACCACUUAUUUAUUUACUUUUGCACUUGUUUAUGGGACUCCUUUGUACUACUUUAUGUUUCUAUCAGUGGUUUUCAGCUUUAUGUUACUUUCUCUAUUGUAGAACUUAGUUUUCUAGCAUGCUCUGAUACUCCUAAAUGUCUUUUAUUAUUGCUUAUUUCAUCGUUGUUUUUAGACGUCUUAUAUGUUUUAAACGUAUGGCGGGUAUGGGCACGUGCCGGGCGGGCUUCCGCUGGGUCCCGGGGCGUGACAAUUACACACACGGAUAGAGUCUCCCCUAUAUUUGCACGGCGUCGCACAAGUACAAGAUACAAUCACAAAUGUAUGAACAUCCACAUACAUUUACCACAUCACAUUUACCAUUCAUUCCAUUACAGAUAAUUAUAAAUUCACAUUUAUUAGUUUAAAACGUUUCUUACCUGAAAACUCAUUUUGAAACACUUAGAGCCUGUUUGGAUGCACAGUAAAAAAUCUCCACAGAAUUUAUAAACUGUAGUUUUGGUCCAAAUUAAAUAGGGAAUCCUGUAACUCUAAAAAAAUUCCACGGAUUCAAUUUUUAAACUGUUUGGAUGCGCAUUGUGCAAUUUCACGAAAUUUCUCUAAAUUUUAAAACUAAAAGUUAAAAUUUCAAAUUUCAAAUUUCAAUGAAAAUGAUCAAAAUGGUAGAUCUAACGGCGGAAAACUUGGUAACACCAAGUGCUUCGUGCUAUUAAUAGCAUAGUAGCCGGACUAUAUAUAUAUAUAUAUAUAUANUAUAGGCUGGGGCUACUAUACUCUUAUGAGUAUAAACCCCCUUCUACUCAUAAAUAUUUAACCAUUAAUUGAUGGGAUUUGUGGUUAGGAUGAUAGUAGUCCCCACUUAGAAUGAUAGUGGUCCCCUAGGGUUGAGUGGAUAGUUAGUUGAAUAGUAUGAUCUAACGGGUGAAAAUGAUCAAUGAAAUAAAUCUAAGGGCCGAAAACUUAUGAGUAUAAGGGAACCAAUACUCAUAAAAAUAUAGUAGCCGGACUAUAUAUAUAUAUAAUUGAGCUAGAAUACUUUUACGAGUAUCACCCCCAUGGUGCUAUUAGGUUUUUAGCCAUUAGAUCUACUUCUUGAUUACUAAUAGCCUUUGGAUCAAACACUAUUCCACCUGGCCACCACCUACCACCACCUACCACCAUCAUCUCAACCUCACAUCUUUCCAUCCAAUAGCUAAAAACUCAAAAGCACCACCCCCAUAGUGCUUUUGAGAGUAUUCUAGCUCAACUAUAUAUAUAUAUAUAUGUAGGCUCCUAUGCUUUCGAAAGUACCGGGGCCUCCGUACUUGUAAGUUGUUUUUGAUGAUGAGACGUUUGAUUCGGCGAUCAGUUCCAUUAGAUAUGAUCUACGCUAUUGGAACUAUCUAGAAACCAAAUUUCAUAAUUUUUUGACUUCGUUUGCCUAGUGAACGAGUAGUCUCAAAAUGAACGGCUGAAAAUAAAAAUCUUAUAAAAAAUAAUGAUAAAGGACUCAAAUUUCAAAUCAGAAGUAUUGAUCUUGCUAUUGAUGUUAAGUAGAAUUUUCUAUUAAACUUUCAUGUAAUUUGGAUACUUCUACACCGUUGAACUUAAAAAGAUUGAUCUUUCCAUUUUCCGGCUGUAAAAGAGAAAAAGAAUGUGGUGAUGAAUAUAAAUAUCGAGCGGUCUUAACUAACUACUAUACUAUUAUGAGUACGAUCACUCUCGUACUCAUAAGUUGUUUUUGAUGAUAGAGCUUCCAAAUCGACGAUCCACACCGUUAAACGUUAUCUAGAGCAUUUAAAACAUCUAAAAAUCAAAUUUUAUAAUUUUUCGAUAUCAUUACCUUACGAUCAAAAUCUCACAAAAUUGACAAUUUUUAACAGCCGGUAUGGAAUACUUACUAGUUUAAUGGUGCAAAAAAAUUCGAGUAGGUUGAAUUUUUGAUAGAAAAUUCUAUUCACUACCUAGAUAAAGAUCAAUAACUCCGAUCUUAAAUUGAAGGAUCCGAUCAUCCAUUUUUAGGACGUCGUUNUAUAUAUAUAUAUAUAUAUAUAUAUAUAUAUAUAUAGUCUUCCAUUUGUGCUUAGACUGACACUGAAUUGGACAUAGUCUUCCAUUUGUGUUUAGCACUGAAUUGGACAUACUAAGGUUUGGCCAAAUAAAAUUUUUAAUGAUCAUUUAGUAAAUUAUAAAUUUUAAAAAGUUAAGUUCAAAGAAAGUCCUCACAUAUCUAGGUUCAUCUUUUACUAGAAGAAAAAAGUAUUUUUCUCGAUUGCAUGAAAGACACAAAGAUGUCUUGUCCUACUUCACUUCUAAUGUAGUGGGUCAAACCUACAUAGUAUAGGGAUGUAAAAUAAAUAUAUUUUAAGUGGCAGAAUUUACAUGUCAUGCAUUUUUUAUCUUUCACAAGAGAGAUAGUAAUUUUCUUGUUUUGCUCAUUUUAUAAAUAAAUUUGGCUAAAAACAUAAGGUAUUAGGCUUUGAAUAUGAAAGCUCAGAUAAUAAUUAUUAACUUUUGAUGCCUCAAAUUUAGUGCUAGCGUUUAUGCAUGGACAUACGUGACUUAACCAAUCUAGGUCGAAAAUUUCGUUGAGCUCUACAAUUUUUAUAGUUUGUGCAAAAAAUUUUUAAACGAUCAUAACUAUUUGCUUUAGUGUUUCUUUUAGCGUGUUACCCUAAUUUCAAAAACACUUUUCGAGAUCUAUGCAAUGAAUUGCAAAGCUAUUACGGUCGAGUUUAUGUCUCAGCAUUUAACUGCUUAGGCCUCCAUUUUACUUUUUGUGUUACAUUCGAAUUAUUUUGUAUUUCUUUUAUUUUGAGUCUUGUUAUUUGUUUAUUUUUUAUCAGUUUAGAUUUAGAGAUAUAUUAAAUUUAUUAUUUUCUGUUCUAGUAACUAGGAUUUGAGCAUCGACCCUAUGUAUAUACAUGGCGUUCGGUUAAAUUGUACUUAGUUUUUUUUAAAGUUGAUUAAUAAAUAAAGUUUUUUUUAAAGUUGAUUAAUAAUAUUUACUCUUGCCCCCAAAAAUGUAUUAUUUUUAACAUAUUGUUUUUCUGUCCUUAUCCUUGUACUUUCUUUUUUUUCUUUUUUUGUGUCAAUACCACUUAGGCUUUUGUCAAGUCUUAGUCAAUCGCGGUUCUAAAAUUAUGCACUUGUUGGAAUAUAUAAUUGUGCAUCGUAGUGACAUGCGUAAGGGCGGACAAAGGUGGGCCCGGUUUGGGAGUUGGGAGUAGACUUCAGGGGAGGGGAAAGAAUCAAAUGGAGUUUGGAGUGAAACACUUAUAUUAUACUCCUUUGUCAAGUUAGGGGAGAUUAUGUUGGAGAUCCGAACCCCUCCAUUCUCACGAAAAGUCUCUUUUCCAUUGUAGUUAGUAAGAUUCGGAGAUCUCUCACUGUCUUUCUCUCUCUCUCUCUCUCUCUCUCAUCUCUCAGGUGAAAGUGAAAUAUAGAAUUAAAUAAUGUUCAGGGUAAAUUACAAUGAUGGUUCCCAACCUAUUUGUUUGGUGGAUUGUGUUUUUCUUCUCCAGCGCCUUUGAAAUUAUUGUACUUGAUAGUCUUUAUGUACGCUAUCAAACAGAUUGUAAUCAAGAUCUAUCGCUUGUUUCCUUCUGUUAAUAAUAAUAUAUAUAAGCACAAGAGGUUUAACACACGGAGAUUUUUGUUAGACUUUUGUGUCCGAAUCGAUAAUGAUAAUAUGCUUAGGCUUCGUUUAGAAUUAUGGUUUUGUUUCCGUAAGUAAUAUUGCGUUUCAUAUAUGCUGAUGAGUCGGUUAUGAGAAUGAUGAAGUAUAUCCGUAUAUGUUUUUAUCCCAACUCUGUUUUAUCUAAUCGUAUCAGAUAACUUCAAUACCAAACUAAGUUUUAGUCGUUUUCUAAUUCAGGUUUGAGAAAUGGAAUACAACAACUGGGCCUGAUAAUUAGCAGUGAGAUGAUUGUUAAUUUUCGAGUUGAAGUUCAACAAAUUAAAGUUUAAUGACUAAACCACAAGACAUUAAUUUAAGAACCAUUGGUGUUUUCCAUCCUAAUAUUAAAGAAAGGAGAAUAUAUUAAUAUUUUUCAAAAUUUUGAUCUAAUAGAAAAUAGUUUGGAGUUAGUUUUAAUUAACAGUAUCCAUGCUCAAGUGCACAGUGAAUAAAUAAGCUGCGGAGACUGACUAAAAAAAUAUAUAAAUAGAAUAAUAAAUAGAUAUUAGAUAAAAAUGAUAAUUAUAAGAGAAUCAAAAUCAGAACUGUGCAGAAAAAAAGGAAAUUUGAACAGCCUGAAAUAUCGGGUUGCUAAAAAGAUUUAUGGAUGAGAAAAUAAUUCAAAAAUAAUCUUAUUAAUUAAUAUACACAAUAUAUUACUAUUUCUAACGUCAAUCACGCCAACAUCUGUCUUAGCCCCUGCCCCAUCACAACUGCCCAAAACUUGGGGCCUACUCUCUCAUCUUCUUUUCCUAUUGCACUUUUAGUAGAAAACUUGUCAUCUUCACUUUCCCAAAGUCGCUUGAUGAUGCAACUCGUACCUUUUUGAUGAAGAACAUAUUAUAUAUAUAUAUAUAUAUAUACAUACGACCCCAUACAUGCAUGUACGUGAUAAUCUGUGGCAUAUUUUAUAUAAUAUUUGUCCAAAUUUAAUAAAUAAGGGAUUCCCAGCUAUAUAUAUAUAUAUAUUAUAUUAUAUUAUACAUACCAACGGGAACGCAAAUAUGUCAUUAGGGCACNUAUAUAUGUACCAACGGGAACGCAAAUAUGUCACUAGUAGUAUACUCUUAUUAACUCACCAACCCUAUUUAUCUCUCUCUCUUUCCACUCUCAUAAAAAUAAUCAUCCUACACGACAGAGAAAAAGCGCGGAUUAAUUGCGGACAGAAUCUCGGCUCUCAAGAAAGAAUAAAUGUUGGUUCACGUAAACUUAUUUUAAUGAAGUGUUGUUAAUGAUUAAAAAUUCAUUACUGUUAGGUGUGUUUUGAAUUGGGGAUAUCAUUGGAUGUAUUUGGGGUUAAAGGGUUUUAAGAGACAUAUAAGUAUCUUUGUUGCUGUCUUUUUGUUUUUAUUAUUAUAAUGAAAUCUUCGCUUCAGCUUCACUGAUGGAUGUAUAUAUACAGGUCGGUGGUUGAGCUGCGUUAAUUAUAUAUGUACAUGUUUUUCUUGUGCCCUCUUUGUUAAAUCUCUUAGAUGUUACAUUCCCAACAAACUUGGGUUUUUUUGGGUUUAAUUGUAAUGGUAGCGGAAAAUGAUUGACUUGUUAUAAAUAUUGUAUAUGUUUCGUUUUAUUAACGUGUACAUAAUAAAUUUGAGAGUAUGAUCACAUUAAUAAUAACCACAAGUCCUUCCAAUUCCCUUAAUUAAUUAGUACUCUACUUUUAGAGAAAUUACGAAGUACAUAAAUUGUGCCAUGGAAAAAUCGUGGACUCUAGCUAUCUCUAAACCGGUCGAACAACAAACACGGACAUGUUUGGCUUUAUAUAGUGUUUGGUCAAGUUUAUACAAUUUUGUGAAUGGUCGUGAUGUACGUGUGGGCCGUGGGACCAACGUACACAAGAUAAAACUUUGUUUUGUUUCCAUACUCGGUUCACAUAUAAAAGGUGCUGAGCCCGUGAACACAAUGUUUAACUACUAGAAGAGAGCAAUUCGAUGACGUAACACUAAUCGAGCUUGUGGACAAAGUAAGCUUCAUCUUCUUGCCCCCUAAAAGGGGCCCGUUGCACUCCCCGAGGAAUAAAAUUAGACUUGGGAGUCUCUCCCUGUGGAGAGAUUGAUUAAUGUUCUCACUAAUCAUUGAUCACUGCUUUAAGAUUUGUAGAGCGCGAUUAAUGGUUGAUUAGCCUGUCUAUCCUUUCCUGCGGGCAAAGCUUUCCGUGUAAUAUUUUCUUCCUUGUUAGGUGCCGUUUUAAAUACCAGAAUGACCUUCGUUAGGGUGGUGCAUGACCUAUACAGUUUCUUUCUUCAAGUGCUGAUCCACCGUAGAAAGGGGGAGUUAAUUGCACCAGAAUCGUCUGAACUUUUGCCUGCUUUGCAAAUGAAAACUGCCGUCUAUAAAUACAUUCUAUUAGGAUGGCAUAAAUCUUACUCUGUAACAUCGAUCCAAGGGUUCGUAGCAUGCUUUUCGAUUUCUAGUAUUAAAAAAAAAAUGAAGUUGAUAAGACUAGUGGAGAGUUGUAGUCUUUUGGAUGGAAUAGGAGGUAAGAUUUACACCUAGGACGCAUUUGCUUUAAGAUAGAAAAUGGAGUCAUAAUUGAAAUCAGAAUGGAUAGAAAUAGAAAACAGAAUGAUAAAACCUUCCAAUAUGUUUGGCUCAGAAUAACAAUCGGAAUCAGUAUGAUUGAUACCAACUUUCAAAUUUUUUUUUAGAAAUUGAUUAUCAAAAAUAAUAAAAAAUUAAAAUUAAAAUACAAAAUAUAAAAUAAUUGAAAAUUGAGUUUGCACCACGAAACACAAAAUUAAAUUUAUAAUUUAAAUUCAAACUAGAAGUUAAAUAUUAAAAAUUUCACUACAACAGAAUUAGAUUAUAGGGACACAUGUUUGGGACACUUUUAUCUAAGUGUCUCAUUUAUGUCAAAAUUUUAAAAAAUAUCUAUUAAUGCCUAAAUAUAAAGCCGAAUCCAACAAAAAAUAAAAUGUUACUAUACUCAACCCACCCAACCCAGCCUACUUGGUCCGAUUCCAAAUAGAAAAGAAAAAAAAAAAAUGGAUUACCAUCUCCUCUUCUCCGCUCACUCAAUUCACUGAAAUUCUAGACGAAGGGCCCUUCCCUCUCGUCCUCCUCCGCCACCGCAGCCAACGAGAUAGAGUUUCGGCGGUUGCUAGAUGAUUAAAUAAGUGUUGCUAAAUUAGCAGCACUUUUUUAGGUUAUAUCGACACUCUUUAACUGUCAUUAUAUACCUAGCGACCCCACAUAUUGCAACACUUUUUAAAAGUGUCGGUAAUUUAGCCAGCAACACUUUUUUUAACCUAUACCGAUAUUUAAAAGUGUCGCUAUAGACCGUUUUUAUUGUAGUGUUUACAUCAAAAUAUUGAAAUGAUGAGCCAAAAUUUUAAAUGAAGUUUUUAAAAAAUUUAAAAUUAAAAAUUGAGUGGACAUUUCAAAAUAUAAAACUAAUUUUUGAUUUGAUUUCAUAUUCAAAUCUAUAAUUAAAUUUAAAUUUAAAUUUAUAGAUCAAAUUCAAAAUGCUUGAUUGAAUUUAUAUUUUAAAUUUAAUUUCUAAAUGAAAAUAUAGAAUUAAAAAUUUAAUUUCUAAUUUUAAAUUUAUAUUUUAAUUUAAAAUUAAAGUUAAAAAAUUAAAUUAAAUUUAAAUAAAAAAUAUAAAAUAUAAUUGAGAUAUUUUUGUAAAGUGCAUUCUUUAUGCCUGGAUUUAAUUUUCAGUUAGGCUGUGAUUGAGGGAUUCCCAUUUAUCCAAAAAUCGAAAUUAACUGGAAUGGAACUCCCGUAUAUCAAAUACUUACAAACGAAUUCAUCCAUUUCGAUUCCGAUUUUAGGGUGAAAAAAGGACGAACCAAACACGCCCCUAGUCUGGAAUGUAUAAGCACCAUUGCUCUUAUAUUCCAUCGAGUUAAAAUAACUAAUAAUUAGCUAAAUGAUAAAAAAAGCAAUAAAAUAGUGCUUGCCCAGCAAUUUAGAUGAAUUUUUUCUGGUGCCAAAAUCACUCUCAUGCGUGAAGUUAACAACUAUUAUCACACUUAUUUUUUAACAAUCAAAUAGUGAAAAUCUCUAUAUAUAAUACAUUAGAAUUUUUUUAUGGUUUAUAUAUAUAUAUAUAGAGAGAGAGCUAGGUUGGUAUACUAUCGGUGGCACAGAAGUCUCCGUGCUACCAAGUUGUUUUCAAUGAUACCGCUUUCAAAUCGACGAUCGGCUCCGUUAGACUUGAUCUACACUAUUGAAAGUAUUUAGAAACUAAAUUUUAUAAUUUUUUGGUAUCAUUUACCUAUCAAACGAGUAAUCUAAAAAUGAAUGGCUGAAAAUAAAAAUUCCAUAAAAAAUGAUAAUAAAAGACUUGAAUUUAAGAUCAGAGGUAUUGAUCUUACUCUAAAUAGUAAAAAUAAUUUUCUAUAAAAAUUUCAUCUGAUUUGGAUUGUUUUACACCGUUAAAUUUACAAAUGUACCACAUCUACUAUUAAAAUUGUCAAUUAUGAGAACUUUUGAUCACUAGUCAAAUGAUGUCAAAAAAUUAUGAAAUUUAGUUUUUAAAUAUUUUUAAUAGUAUAGAUUAAGUUUAACGAAGCCGAUCGUCGAUUUGAAAGCCACAUCACUGAAAACAACUUGGUAGCACAAAAGCCUCCGUACUACCAAUAGUAUACUAACCNUAUUAGAUUUUGGUGCAUGCGGUCCAGUAAUAUACGGGUUCAUGCCUGCAAUAAUUUCUCAUAAUUGAGAAGAGGGAAUGGGUUGCAGGCAAUAAUUUCUCAUAAGAAUUUAAAUAAGAAAGUUUAAAAUGUGAAAAGAAAAAAAGAAGAAAAAAAACAUAAGCUGAGGAUGGGACGACAGGGCACAAGGAAAAUCUAGCACCUCCAGCCGGUUGUGAUUUUAUGUUCCCAAGAUGGCUAACCCUUCUUAUCGCCACGUUCACAAUCAAGCCCAUCUCGAUCUCACCCAAUCUCAAUCUCUCCCUCUGUUACACGUCUCCCACCCAUGUAAACAAACAACAUACAUACUUUCUCAGACAUAUUCCAAUUAUUUAACAAAUGAUCACUUGUCCCAUCUUCCAUACAUCCAUCUCUUCCAUGAGCAGCUCUGACUCCCUCCCCUAUUCGCUUUCCCCACUUCCUAUCUUCCAUUAUAUUAACUUGUUAAUUACCCUGCCGAGUGCCGACUCCUCCAAUAUAAUUCCCCCCACCCCCACCCCCAUAUAUAAGUCCAUACUCACAUCCACACUCUCUAACCAACCUGCACUCCAUUUCUCCUCCCUCACGCCCCCCAAACCCCCCCUAUAUAUUCGUAUUUAUUAACUAAAUAUCAGAGAGAAAGAGAGAGAGAGAAAACGAGAGAGAUAUUGCUAUAUAUAUAUACAUAUAAAAAAAAAAAAAAAUCAUGUAUGCAUGAGAUCGAGAAGAUAUAUAAAGUAGCUUGCUAGCUAGCUAGAGCUAGGUAGGAACAAGAUGGCCGGGUCGAUCCAGUGCCAUCCCAAGCAGCAGCUGAGGCUCUUCGGCUUCCAAGUCGGCGACGAAGAAGGCCAAGAUCGCUCGCAGCCGGCGGAUGCACCCGACGCCUCUUCCGGGUCCGCUGCCUCGGCUGCCGUCGGAGCGGGGGCAGAAGCCGGGCGAAGGUUCGAGUGCCAGUACUGCUGCCGGGAGUUCGCCAACUCGCAGGCGCUGGGCGGCCACCAGAACGCACACAAGAAGGAGCGCCAGCACCUCAAGCGCGCCCACGCCCACGCCCACGCCCACGGCCUCUCCCCCGCUCAUCACCGCCCGCCGCCGCCACCCCCCGGUGCUCCCGCCCGCCGCGCCGCCGGGGCCCCGAUCUUCGCCCACCCCGUGCGGCGGCCCCACCUCCUCCCCGCCGCCGGCUGGGUCUACCUCCCCCGCCAGGCGGUGCACCUGCAGGGCCCGCCCGGAUUCCACGUCCUUCCCAGCUCGGAGGUGCCUGCCACGUCGCCGGUGGCGUCGUUCCUCGCCGGUGCGGCCGUCGCCGAGGGGGAGGCGGCGGCCGCUGCGGCUGCCGGGUUGGAUCUCCACCUCUCCCUCGGCCCGGCCGGGUCGUGACUUCAUCCCCCUCGCCUUGCAUCCAUCCAUCCAUUUGUUUUACGCCCCACCUGCUAUUUAGAAAUGUGUUAGUUAUUAAAGUAUAUAUGAAACGAUCGUAUGAUCUGCAGGUAUAUAUCAAUAUCAAGUAUGAUUAAUUAUUGGUUUCUAGUCCUGUGUGUAUAUUGGGAUCUCAAUUUUUCUCUAUUAUUAUCAUUAUCGUCAUCAUUAUAUUAUUAAAACUUUAAUUUCUUUCUUCGUUUAACGUAAAAUGAUGGUAUAGUCAUACAGCAGGUUACCUUAUCAAUUUGAGCAAAUUUGCCUGGAUGAUAUGGUUAAUUUAUAUAUAUUUAGGUGGAAAUUUUUAGCAGGAUUUAGCAUGUAGAGUCAUUGCAAUAAUCAGACGAUGAAUAAACUGUUACAGUGUUGGCCCUUCAACAAAUACGUUCUUUAUAGUUGUUAUGGUAUAUAGAGAUUUCUGUAAAAAGUAAAAUAAAAAAGACAAAAAAGUGAGAAAACAAAUCAAAGAAUCAGGUACGUUGUUAUGGAAGAAAAAAAUAAUUUUAUUGAAGAAAACAACUCAUCAUCAUCGUAUGGAACCUUCCUCGAACACUAAUUAUUAUGGCGACUUCCGGCUUUAUUAAGCAAAUAAUCCUAGCCUAUCCAUUUAUAAUUAAUUACACGGAAUCCUAUUCUGAUUUGAUUUCAUCUUAACCAUAAUUUAAAUAACAACCUGAUAAAAUUAAAUAAUCCAAUACUAAUCUAAUAAAUCCUUAGGAUUAUCUUUAACACUCUCCCAUAAUGCUAAUGUUUUUCAUACCGAUCUUUUCACGACAAAAUAUGAAUUUCUCCAAUGGUAGCGGUUUUGUGAAAAUAUCGGUCAUUUGAUCCUCGGUUGCGCAGUGUAUCAACUCGAGCUCUUCUCGUAAUUUUUCGAUCAUCAACUGAUCAGAUAUAGUAGUAGUUUAUAUUUUCCAUCAUCUUCAAGUCACUUGCUUAGGUAAUAAAGAGAGCGGUGCCAUCCACUAAUUAAUCACAGCGUAUGCGAACGACACGAGCUGAGUCGAGCCAAACUGGGUGUGGUCUUAGUUUCCCAGUUCGGUUCACUUACACUUAAAACUUAUUUUUUAUUUUUCAUUUUUGUGCUUUCAUUUAUUACUUAAUUUACUUUUUAACUUAACCUAAGAAUAACUAUAUUUGUGAUCCAAUAAGUUGUUGGUAUCUUGGCCCUUUUUGGCUGCUUGCUACGGCUUCUCUUAUUAGCUAUCCGCAGAGGUGCUUGCAUCUAUGUAUAAAGAAGGGUACAUGAGGGCCGGGUGGAUCACCUUCUUCUCCUACAUAUAUACUUUUUUGAGAUUUAUAUUACCUUUUGUUGGGUGCCGAUCGUCCCGACCCUUGACCCAGUCAAAGAUCUUCCUCGGAAAGCGCGUCGGGUUGAAACGGCUCCGAAAGAUGACCCUCGAAGUGUGCGCCCUUUUACUGAACAAGCGAUUCGGCUGAUGAGGGAUCCAAUCAGCCGGGUCCGAAAGCUCUAUUCUCUCUUCAGUUCGGCCGGAUGAGCCGAAUGUACGAGGGAGGCCGGAAACUCGACCGGGAGAUGAGCCGAACGACUAACACAACACAAGAUCUGGCCGGCCUGAAGAGCCGAAAAUGACUUUCUAUUAAAUGAACUAGUAGAAAGUACAGGAAAAGGGGUUUCAGUCUACAACGGAGUGAUGCCCAGAGGGCAGACAGACUACAGGAUUCUAAGUUACCAAGCUACUCCUAGAAAAAGCGAUAAAUGCAGGAAAGAAAGAUGCGGUAAAAUAAGGGUGGUCUUUUGUUCGCAGGGGGAAAAGAUCCUUUUUUAGGGUAUUAUGAACCUAUUUAUAGAGUCGUCCCUGAGUUGGUUAUAGCUCUUGCACGAUCAGCUAUUAUCUCCUGUUAUUUUUGACCACCUUCGGCCGAUCAGAACCGUCUGUAAGUGCUUGCGGUUGCUAUAACUCCCUUGAUUUUGGUGCGGUUCGUGUUCCUUCUGGUGCCCCUAAUGUACUCUCGGUGCACCGCUGAAACUGCUGUACUGGUAUUGACCCGACGUGCCAGCUGUUCGCGCCGAAUUGGCUCAACAAUUGCCCCCUCGGCAGCUUUCGAAGCGACGCUUCGGUAGCUAGCGUUUUCCAAGGCACGUUUCACCUUUUAGCAUGGUUUUAUUUGAAUCACUCGGUUCAAAAUUCCGCCACUACUUCAAAAAGGGCGUGAUCCGAGGCAUACUUUUCGAUCCAAUCAAUUUCAAAUCUUCUGCGCUAGUGGCUGACGUAAUGCAAAACCCAUUGACUCGAUUUUGGCCGUUCAUUUUUUUUUUCUUUGCGGCCCUGAUUCGUUCUCGAUUUUUGUCUUAUAUGCGGCAUUAAUUAUGUUCUCUUAAAUGCCGCCGUCUAUUCAUUAUCAUAGCCGACCUUGGAACUUGCUUCGAUGCGAAGGUUCGAUACGACGGCUUUUCUUCUUCCCCAAGCUUCGCAUUCUUUUGUCUUUUCUACCUUUUCGUUUCUUCCUCUUCUUUUCCAACGAAAUCUUUUCAUUUCUCCUUUACUUUCUUCUUCCUUUUUUUUUUGUUUCGAGUGAUGGCGCCACUUUCGCCAUUACCUACUCGCCCUUCAUUGGAUUACACCUUGCUCGAAUCGUAUCUUCCCUUAGACCCUACUAGAUUGAUCUUGGGACCUUCUUUUACCCAAGAUCCAACUCCUGAGGAUUUUCCUUUCUCCAGUGACGGUUUUCCAUUAAUGGCUGACUCCAUUCAUCUUCAUUCCUGGUACUCCUCGGCCUCGACAAGGAGUCUUAGGACUUGGCCGAGUACCUCAGAUGCAUAUCUAUCUUGGUUAGAUCGAGUCAAAUCUGCUUAUGACGAUUUUUGGAAAGAGAUUGGGAUUUAUGAAGCUAUCCAGUUAUCGCGGAAACCCCCUAUAGUCGAUAACCUUUUGUUAGCUUCAGCUCUCUGUUUUUUGUCCCCUGUCUCCAACAUUUUUCUUUUCAGAGGAGGCCCUCUUACCCCAACUCUUUUUGAUGUAGCCGCCAUUGUUAGUUUACGCCCUCAUGGCGUUACCCUCUCUAUGGCCUAUAAUCCUGAUGGUGUAUCUGAUUUUGAGGCCCAUCUCGAUCUCAAUGAUUUGGCUUACUCUAAGUUUCUUCGUAAGUUUGCAGGUGAAUUCCCUGCUCCGGUCACCAGGAAAGAACAUACGGCGUUCCUCCUGUACUGGCUAUGUCAUAAUCUUUUCUGCACUCAUUCACAGAAAAUCAAUCGAGAUUUUGUUCCGAUCGCCGUUGGUUUAUCUAACGGCGAUAAAUUAGCCUUGGGGCCCUAUUUCCUUACUUUUGUUUAUAGAAAAUUUUUUGAUUCCAUUAAGCCCUUACCCUCCGGAGAUGGUGUAACCAUUAGCUUGGGUUGCGGCUUUUUUUUAGUUUUUGCAAAUAUUUUUGCAAAUUUAUUUUCGUAAGUUGUGCCGAGAACCUUUAGAUAUGGAUUCGGCUGCCCAUUUUGACUCAUAUGGGCUUGCUCUCGGCUGCCCUCCGCCGUUGACAUCUGGACAUCCUCUUGAUUUUCCUACUUAUUUUUCCGUUUUUUAUGAUUCGAGUCCUCACCUUCUCAUUUAUUGGUCUCCUUUGGCUGGCCGAGUCACUGGCCCCUCUUGGUUUUUAGCUAGGUAUGAAUCUCUUCAAGGUGAGCUUGCUUCUUCUCGUGCCGGCGAGAACCUUGAUGUUUGGUAUUCUUUUUUGGCCCCUCGGGAUUUGCAUAUUGGCUUGAAAACGCGCUCGAAGUUGUUGCCCAGCACCGAGGUUUACUCUCCACAGUUUGUGGCGUGCCAAUUUGGAUUUACACAGGCAAUCCCUGCUCCGGCCAAACUCUUCACGGCUAAUACUGCCGUUUAUCGCCUGCCUACCAAGAAUAUAGCCGAUGCCGAUCGGAUUUCAGCCAUGAGAAAUCGUCUUCGGUGAUUUUUCAAAUUAACCAGCUUCAAGCCGAAUUAUACCGGAGUAUUAGGCUUUCGCUAUACCGUUAAUUGGGAUAUUGUAGUGUUCCUGAGCUUUGGAUAGGAUUGGCUUCAGUAUUAGUGACUGGUCGACAUCUCUGGACAGUGUCGGACUGAGUCGGAGUCAAUUCUGCACGAAUUGGAUGCAGAAUUGGACUCGGCGCACUCAAAUAAGCAAAACUGGAGUUUUGCCAGAUUCGGGCCCCCAGAACAUGGUUUAGCUCGCCCAGAACUGAGUGUUAAAUUUAAUUGAAACUGGAGCCAAUUCGGAUCCUAUGUUCCGGAUGCCCAGAAGUGGGUCCGAAAAUCCUACAUCGUGAAUAUCGUUUGCUUCGACGCGUGGCGGGGUGGUAGGUGAGGCCCGCCUAAGCCAUUUACGGGCGCAGCACACCGCGAGCGCAGAAUCCGAGGAGGAUGAUUUGUGCAGCCUGGAUGUUUCGGUCGCCCAGAACAUGGUUCCGGGUGCCCAGAAACGUCCGUUUCUGCAGGGACACCAGAUUACAGCUACUUCUCUUGGGGCUUAUUUUAUCCUUCCAACAACUUAUAAAUAGAUGGAGGGUGACCCUGGUGAGCUCUUUUCACUCCAUCUUCACAGUGAACCCUUGGAUUUCAUCUUCUACCCUCGAAUUUCCAUAAAUUGCUUCAAAAUCCACAACUCCAAGCUUGCUAGGAGCUGAUUCUGCAGUUCUUCAGCGACAACCUCCAGUGUUUUGGCUCGUACGUGAUGUAAGGAUGUCGGAUUUCGACAAAACUUGGUUUGCUGGAUUCUAGACUUUUAGAGGAAUCCAUGAAGCCCUUACUUGCAGAAUUUGGUGAAGGUUAGCUCAGUCGAACUCAGGUUUUCCUCUGCUGCUGUUGCUAUGGACAGAAUUGCAAGUUUUUGAGUUUUCUUGGGGUGAACUUUGGAAGCAAGGGCUUUGUGGAGUUGAGUCACAUCUCCUAUCAACCAGUGCUGGAAUUGGGACCAUCUUCACCUAAUUUGGAGAUUGUUAGGUGAGUUUUGAUAUUGGAAUUAGAUAAAUCCUAAGCUUAAGUGCUGAAAUUGACGAAUUGUAAUGGAUUUUGGGUGAAUUGUAAUGUCCAAGUUUUGAGGGGAUUGUUGCUGGUUUGGAGGUGUUUCCAGCUAUGCUACUUGUGAUCCGAGACCAUGUUGCUGCCAGAGGAAUCGCGUUUGAGGUGGGUUUGCAUCGGAUUACUCCUAAGUAAUGAGUAGAUGUAUAGUCGACAUGUAUGUUUUGUUGUUCGGUCUACAAUGUGAUUAGAUUAAAUUCAGUGAUAAGCUGUGGCUGUAACCUGAAUUUAAGCAUGCUAAAUAAGUGACAUUCACACAUGUUGGACAUAAAAAAUUGACUUAGGAGAAAACUUGCCUUUUGACCCGUCAUAUGUUUAAACUACCAGAUUUAGCUCUAGGAGUCGUGAUUUUACUGUAUCGUUGCAGUAUCAGUGCGAUGGAUAUCUGUGGUAGUUUAGAAGGCAUUUACGCUCAUGCUCGGGUGCCAAGCUUAUUUUUCAGCAGAGUCUAGGCUGUUUCGGGUCGUUGGGUGCCAUCCGGGUUGGCCGUGGACCCAGAUUCUUGUUUUGGUUCCAGAUUGUGCCGAGGGCACGUGGGUUUGGUUUGUAAACCUGUUUUGACCCUGUUUACAUGACUUUGGCUAGUUGGAGCCUAUUUGAGUUCGACAGAGAUACGCUGCAUACUCGGUUGGGUAGCUCCCACGAGUGCCACUCCGGAGGCAGGCGCUGUGCUUUUGCGUUGGUGUCGUGCAUGCCAGUUAGACUUGCUCUCCACGGACUGAUUAGUGUGGAGGUAGCUUGAUAGUCUCAACUGGGCGGGGUGGGUGUGUUCACAGUCCCUGGGACGGGUAUGUUUACAGUUCCUAAAGAGAUUGGGUCAGGAUUGACAUUGCUACAGUAGGUUAGCAUAGAACAUGAUAGUGUAAUAAAUGGUAGCUGUAGAUUUUUAUUCCAGCAUUUAUUACUACCUUUGCUCCCUUCUGUAGACUUAGUGGGUGGACCGAUAUUGUUGAGGGUGGCACCCACUGAGGACUACAUAUUUUUACAGUAGUUCUCACGCCCUGUUAUUAUCCCCUAUUUUUGAAGAGCCCCCGUCGUCGGCUGCUGCUGUCGCAGAUCAGGAUCGAGGCAAGCGCGUCACGAGUUAGAGCCCUACCAGACGUGUCGAGCUAGAGGUACCCCUACUGCAGGUAGAUGUUUUGUUUUGAGUUCAUGAACAUAGUAUACUUAACUCGCCAGUGCGAGUAGCUCUGUAUUUUCGGUAUUGGACUAUGUAUAUGGAACUCCGUUUGUUUAGCUUUUGUUUACUCUAGCAGCUCUAUACUACUGUUUGUAGUAUUGUAUGGUUUAUAGGUAGAGUUGUCGCUUUGUAUACAGAAAAAAUUCCUUUGUAUACGGUGGAUUUGUCGGCGUGCCCGGGGAACGUAUAAUCCAGGGCAUGACAGAUUAAGUUGGUAUCAGAGCUUAGCAUUAGGUCGUUCGGACCUAGAAAACCUAAGUUUGGCAAACCUUAGGAAGGCAAGAUGCGAGAGGCGUAAUUUAUUGCGAAAGUCAAUGAUUAAUUGUUCUAACUCCUCCCAGAGUAGGGUGAGUGAUUGAAGGAGUUCCUGUUUUGGCCUGAGAAAUUAUAUUGGCUGCAGACAACAUAAUUUUGGAGGAAAACAGGGACCGCCUUCCAGACUUUCGUUAACUAGGUCGAGAGUGUUAUGUUUCAUCUGACCCCGAUCUGUUCCUUUCAUCUAUGUAUCGUCGCCGAGGUCGACCGUCGUUACGGGAGCGUGCCCAGUUGUCGCAGGAUCGUGCGGGACCUUCCGAGAUGCCUGAGCAUGCGGAGCUGAGUACCCAGCGGGAGCAGAGUAUUCGACCAGAGACGAGUACAUCUCCAGACUUGAGUGCACAGUUAGCCGCCCUGACAGAGGUGACGAGGCGGCAGGGGGAGUUGUUAGAGAGGAUGUGCGAGAGGCUAGCUUCGCCCUAGAGUUCAGCACCGAGGGCAUCAGAGUCGUCUGUUCCACCAUUGACUACCCCAGUGACAACACCAGCGGCAGCAGUCCCUCCGCCAGCAGCAGUUCCAGUAGCACCAGUUGCGCCUGCUUGGGGGCCAGUACAGUUGACAGAGGCCGAGCAGGAGCGGUGGACGGAGAGGUUGGCUGGUUUCCGCUGUUUUGAUCCACCGAUUUUCGAUGGCAGUUGCACUGAGGCCUGGGUUGUUGAGGGAUGGGUCAGUGCGAUGGAGAAGUUAUUUGAGGAUCUGUUCAUUCCUGAGGGGGAGCAGGUGUCUUUGGGAGUCCAUUGCUCGGCAGGUGAUGCCCACGCCUUGUGGAGGAGAGUGAGGAGAGAGCAGGGACUGGUAGCGUUGAAGCUAAGAUGGGAUGAGUUCUGUGGAAUGCUGUUUGGGAUGUUCUUUCCCAACAGUAUGAAACAGAAGCUCAAGGAGGAUUUGAAGAGGAUCCAGUAGGGGGAUCGUCCAGUGCAGGAGUACAUUCGGGAGUUUACUCGACUCCUGAACUGUGUGCCAUUUGUGGCCAGGGACGAGGCACACAGGGUCUAUCUGUUUGAGCAGGGGCUGAGACCCGACAUCUUCAGGUUGGCGCGGACGCAGAGGUCAAGGACUCUGAAUGCGUCCAUAGAGCAGGCCUUGUGGGUGGAAAGAGGUGAGGUGUCACUGCAGGAGAGGACUCAGGCCGUGGGGCAGAGUCAGGAUAGGAAGCGCUCCUUUUCAGAUGAUGCUGGACAGUCGAGCAGCAGGCGUCCGCCGAGGCCUCCACGAUCACGCUCUCAGGGUCGUGGGUCUUCGGGGCGUCAGCAUUCCAAGGGAUCCCGUCCGCAGGGGCAAACUCAGAGGACACCGCAGUGUGUGAUCUGCGGGGGGCCAAACUGGCCCCGGCAGUGCGAGCAGAGAGAGGGCCGUUGCUACUCUUGCGGUCAGCCCGGGCAUAUGAGGUCAGCUUGCCCUCGUGCAGCAUCACUAGCGCCAUCCACUGCAUCAGCGCAGCCGGCAUCUCAGCCUUCUUUUGGAGCAGCACCGAGUUUUCGCUAGGAGGAUAGAUCAUCUAUGCCGCGUCAGGGCGAGCGACGACAGUAGGCUCUGAGUGGCAGGAUUUACGCAGCUCAGGUAGAGGAUUCUUCAGCAGCCGACCGAGUGGUGGCAGGUAUCAUAUUAAUUUCAGGCAUUCGUACUCGCACUCUUUUUGAUACCGAUGCCACGCAUUCUUUUGUUAGUCGAGCAUUCGCAUUGUUGCAUGGUCUAGAGUUAGGGUCAUUGUCACAGGCACGAGAGGCGCAAAUCCCCGACCAUGUCUUGCAGGUUACUGAGUGUUGUUGGUCAUGUCCGGUGCAGUUGGAUUCUUGGAUCAUGCCCGCAGACUUGUUGGUGUUAGAGCAGCUGCAGGACUUUGAUGUAGUGCUCAGUAUGGAUUGGUUGGCGCGGUACUAUGCUACUAUUGAUUGUGGAGCGAGGAUUGUAACAUUCCGCGAGCCCGGCCGGGAGGAGUUCACCUUCAGAGGCUGCAGGAGUACUUUGUUUGCCACUUGGAUAUCUUCGGCGAGGGCUCGACAGCUGAUGAGUAGAGGAUGCGUUGCUUUUCUGGCGACUGUAACAGAGGUGCCUACGGCGGCGCCGGGACUCGAGGAUAUCCCUAUAGUUCGCGAGUUUUCGGACGUGUUUCCCCCAGAGUUGACGACGAUGCCGCCGGAGAGGGAGAUAGAGUUUGUGAUUGAUGUGGUUCCUGGAACUGCACCAAUCUCAAAGGCACCUUACAGGAUGGCACCGGCGGAGCUGAGAGAGCUAAAGGCGCAGCUUCAGGAUUUGAUAGAUAAGGGGUUUGUGAGACCCAGUGUGUCGCCUUGGGGAGUGGCGGUGUUGUUUGUAAAGAAGAAGGAUUGUUCGCUCAGUUUGUGUGUGGAUUACCGGGAGCUAAAUAAGGUGACCAUCAAGAAUAAGUACCUCUGCCGCGCAUUGAUGAUCUGUUUGAUCAGCUGCAAGGAUCUUAUGUCUUCUCAAAGAUUGACCUCCAGUCAGGUUACCACCAAUUGAGGAUGAGGGCCGAGGAUAUUCCCAAGACGGCUUUUCGGACUCGGUACGGGCAUUAUGAGUUUACGGUGAUGCCGUUUGGAUUGACGAAUGUCCCUGCCGCAUUCAUGGAUUUGAUGAACAGAGUGUUCAAGCCGUUCUUAGACAGGUUUGUGGUAGUCUUCAUUGAUGAUAUUUUGAUAUACUCCCGGAGCGAUGCCGAGCAUGAGGAGCACUUGAGGACUGUGCUACAGCUUCUGAGAGAGAAGAAGUUGUAUGCCAAGUUAAAGAAGUGCGAGUUCUGGUUACGGGAGGUCGCUUUCUUGGGCCACGUGAUAUCAGCAGAGGGAGUAGCAGUCAACCCGAAGAAGAUUGAUGUCAUUCGGGACUGGCCCAGACCGACGACGGUAAAAGAGGUGAGAAGCUUCCUUGGACUAGCAGGAUAUUACCGUCGGUUUGUGGAAGGCUUUACGAAACAUUCCACACUCUUCACUCGAUUGACGCGAAAGGGGAUUAGAUUCAUUGUCACGCCCCGGGGUCCCUUUUAGUUUAAAAGGUAGCGGAAAAGCGUCUAAAUUUUUUUUUUUUUGAAAAUCUGACCCCAGAGUGUGCCAGAUCCGCCACAAAUACAGGAGCUCCACUGUUCACACGGACAGAGUCUCCCUUGUAUUUGCACGGCGUCGCACAAGUACAAUAGAGUAUAAAUACACAUACAAUCACAACCACAACCAGAUGAACAACAAGAUAGAUAACAUUCAUCCAUUCCAUUCACACACGCAGAUAUGAUACUUGAAUUAUGAAUAACAUUCCACAUCUAUCAGUUAAAAUGUUUCCUACCCGGAAACUGAUUUUGAAAUACUAAAUCCAUAAAACCACAAGGAAAUCAAUUUAAGAACUAAUCCCCACACGGGAACCAUUCUUUUUCAAACCAGCUACCACGAGGGGUAGAAAACUGUUUUAUUUCAAGAAAAACUCAAAUCCUUUAGUACAUUUCAAAACCAAUUGAAAACCAGAUAAUCAGAUAAUAAAAUAGAAACUGAACCAUAAUAUGUCUAAGUAUUUAUUCGAGCAUGAAGGGUAAAAGGGAUAACCGACUCGGGAAGGAGCUCUAUCGCACGCUAGACACGCUCCUCACCAGCUGUCCCACUCGGACCUGCUACGUCACCUGUAAUGGGGGCGGGGCGGGGUGAGAACAUGUAAACAUGCUCCCCGAUCCAACGUGGGUACCGAAGCCGAGGAUGGCGAGGGGAUACUCACGUAGUCCCGGAGAUAACAAAUAUACGGAUAAUGAUAGUCAAUAACUAAAAUAAUACAAGUACUGAAAUGAAUAUAAAUGAACAACUACAGCUACUGUAUGUAUGCAUCAACGGACAAUCAAUCCAAAAAGUACCCAAUCUGAACCACUGCUCUCUUGGUCAGCACAGCAGACAGCUCAAGCAAUGCCACUACUACUCUCUCAGUUGCAUAUAACCCUUCUAGGGCUCACAGGGUUGUCACCAUUCAAACCACUUUUCGGAAAAGAACACUCCUUGCGGUGGAUCAGACGCCAGUGUUCGUGAAAAUGCGACGAGUAUCGGCGAUCAAUGCAAUAUGCUCAAUGAAUCAACCGUCGCAACACCGACAAUCCUGCCCCCCAGGGCCCAUCGACCGCAUGGGUCAUCAUGUAACCAAUCGACCACCAGGUCACAAAUAUGGAGUAUGAAACUCGACCAACCAGGUCAUGAUACAACAAAGGAGAAUCAACUCAACCAGAUCACAGAUAUCAUAUGCUGAAGAAAUCUACUCUACUCCUACACAAGAUACGAGCAUGCAAAACCGAGUAGAGUAAUACGAGGAUAAUAUGAUAAGAAAGUAUAUGAUAAGCAAUGUAAAUGGAAGGGUGGAAGGAACGUCACCGAGCGUGCACCACUGUACGAAGUCGGUCGAAGUACCACCUGUAUGUAUCCGACGAAGGUCUCUCGACUGUGAAGAGGUGCAACCGAACCUACGAAAGGUCCACGGGUUAAGGUCUAACCACUGACAUGAAAGCUAACUCACAACCCCUGCUAACCAAAACCACGACCGAUUUCCCAAACCGAUUACCAACAUAAGGGAAGUCCCGAACUGCACCGGAAUCUUCUCGUCGCUCCCCCGUCGUUUCGGACCUCAAAACGACGCGGGUGACCAGCCAACCAGAGGCUCAGCGGCCCACAAAUCAGCCACGAGGCACCUGUCGGAUGAAAUCCGAACCGAAACCGGCGUUCUAAUCGCAGAUUUUGCCGAAAAACCUCCUGGGAAAUCACUUUUUCGAUUUCCGCAAAGCUUGGGCCUUGGACGAUCAGUCCAGAGGUUACCCUCCCGCAUUUAAACGCUGUCCACAGCAUCUACAAGAAGCAGAAGGCCUAAAAGCCACACCGCAUACAUGAAAUUGCAUCAUUUCAUGUGAUUUCAGCUUUUCUGGACCGUGCACGCAAACCGGAGGUCGAUUAAUCCGACCGUCGUACUUGCUGACAGGUUUCAGCAUUUCGGAGGCCGUGCUCACCUUUCGGAGCACUGCGCCACUGCGGUGCGGCACCGAGCGCCGCGAAGUACUGAAAAACUGCGCGACGAGCGCGAAGAUCGCACUAACUCACAAACAGGGCAUCUUUGCCGCUGUUGGAGUGAGCACGAUGUUCAGGCACGAGUUGUAGAUCAUCGUGCUCACUUCCCGAAAUAGAAGGCUUCUCGGAUCACCGAAAGAGACGCGAACCUCGAAAACAGUGCUGGAACAUAAAAUGUCCAUUACAGACUCGAGGAGAGCUAGGGUUGGUCGCCGGCGCCGGGAGGCGGGCGUCGGCGGAGGAGGGAGCAUCGGAUCGCAGGACGGUCCGGGGGGGUGCUGGCCGCGGCGGGCAGCAACCGGUGGCGGCGGCGGCCGCGAGAUCCACUCUGCACACCUCCUCUCGGGUUCGCUUCCCGGCGGCGUGGCGGCGGCUUGAGGCGGUCGGGUGCGCGACUCUGGUGCGGCGCCGGAGGCCGAGGGGAGGACGGUGGCACCCCGUAGGUGGGCUGCGGCCGCGCCUGAAACUAAGCGGGCCCGACCUCGGCCCGCACGUGGACUGGGCGGCACAGGAAGCUCCAGCGGCGGCCGGCGGCGCGCGGGACGGCGGGGACGCGCGCGGCCGGGUUGCCGAGGUCGCCGCGGUCGACUGGGGGGCGCGGCCGAAACGAGGCAGGGCGCUGCUGCCCGGAGCCGGCUCGGUCUGGGCUGACCCGAGCUGGCUGCAGGGAGCCGGGGGCUCCGGCGGCGUUCGAGGGUGGCCGAGGCGCGGGGCGAGGACGCCGGAGGAGAGCCUCGCCAGCGGGAGGGGGAAGCUGGCUUAGAUGCCCUCCGCGAGCACAAUACACGAAAUGUGGCAGGUCGGGUAGGGGAGAGCUAAGAGGUGGCCGGGGUGACUUCUCCGCGGCCGAGCAGCCUGCCGGGGCCGGGGCCGCGAGCACGAGUGGGCAAGGAGAAGUGGGUGGUUAGGGCACCGGGGAAAAAUUAGGGUUAGGGUUUCUUAGCCGAACCCUAAAACCUCAUUUAUAUCACACGACGAAUUGUCGAAAACCCCUCCUAGUCCAAUACCCUUUUUACCAACCCCCUGCCAACAUGUGGAAAAUCCGCAUAGGUUCCUCGACAUUCGAUUCCGCGCAAGAUCGCCAUAAAAUAUUGGACCUUUUCGCGAUUAAUCGAUUUUGCCUACUUGACCUCUUAGCGGACUUUUCACGAUUCCGCGAAGAUCCGUCCGUCGAUUUCCGAACACGGAUUGCCCAGCCGCGGUUCAGUACGACUGGGGCGUCGAAUCUAGCAUUUUACUUUGUCCGAUCUGGUCUCUGAUCAGCGUCAAACCAGCCCUCUUUGAUUCCACCCAAAUAACCGCUAUGUAAUUUCCAUUAAACGCCUUUUUCUCGACAACGUGCCUCAGAACCCAAUUCUGUAGUGCAAUUGGGUCCAGGGAUAGGUCGAGCGUUGAAAACGAGCUAUUGGAAGGCUAUAUUCGGAGUCCCGAUACGCGUAAAAGUCCACUCUACUCCGCGCCCUCUCCGGAACUCGGAGUUACUAUUCACUUAAGUCGAACUUCCGGGUCGCGUAACUUCUUCCGUUUUAACUCGUUUUCUCCUGAAAUUUGACGAGUACACUUAUAAUUUAUUUACACACAAGAACAUCGCAAACAAAAGGGUUUAAUCAAUAAAUGAAAAAAUCUCAGUUACUUACAUCAUCUGAAAGUGAGGCAUUGCCAGAGGAGCUUUGAUGAGUUAGACACGAGGUUGAACGUCAGGCUCUAUCGUGCUCCUUACCUGUGAUGGGGGAAGGAUUUUUUGUGAUCUACAGUGGAUGCAUCGCAACAGUGCGAUCCUGGGCUUUUUUUUUUUUUUUUUGGUUUUGGGGGGGGGGGGGGGGGGGGGGGGGUUUUUUGCUGAUGCAGCAUGGUGGAGUAAUGGGCUUAUGCUUCACGGCAGUUAAGGAUUAUGAGCAAGAAUUAGCCCUAACGCAUAAGGACUUGGAGCUUGCUGCGGUAGUCCCUUUGCAUUGAAGCUUGUGGCGGGCAUUACUUGACAGGCGAGCACUGCGUAGGUUUUUUACUGAUCAUAAAAUCUCAAGUAUCUGUUCACGCCAGAAAGGAGUUGAAUCUGAGCAGCGCACGGUGGUUUGGCAUUGCUGAAGGACUAUGAUACUAGCUUCUCCAGUAUAAUCAUGCCCGGCGAGCAAAUGUGGUGGCAGAUGCGUUGAGCAAGGAAGGCAGUGGCAGAGGCUGGAGCAUGUUGAUCACUUCGCAGAGAUGUUACUCGAGGAGCUGGCGGCGGCUGAGACUCGGGUAGUGUCCUCCCAGGAUUUACUUGCGAGACUGAUGUCCUAUGAUCUUGCAGCCUCACUCUGUUGGAUAACACGGAUUUCGACGAGAAUCAGAGUGCAGACCCCGGCACUUGUGAGGAUUCGAGAGCAGCUUGAGAGGGACAGGCCGAGGGCUUUCGUUGUGGACUAGUCGGGAGUACUCGCGGUACAGGGACCGUACUGUGUAACCUUGGAUCCAGAGAUCGCGAGGGAUUUUGAGAGAGGCUCAACUGUUCACCUUAUAAUUACGUUCAAACCCGGGUGGAACAAGAUGUAUAAGAUUUAAAGGCUCAGUUUUGGUGGACAUGGAAUGAAGAGGGACUUGGCAGAUUUUGGCUUAGUGUCUGACACUUGUCACAGGUAAAGGCCGAGCAUCAGGUACCUGCUGGCAAGCUUCACCAGAGUGUGCCAGUGCCAGAGUAAAAAUAGCAGCAGAUCACGGUAGACUUUUCGUCGAAUUGCCUGAAGAAAAAAAAAGCAGCAGGUGGUUUUUUUGAUGCGAUUUGGGGUGAUACGUGGACAGACUGAACCAAGUCUGCUCACAUUUCCUACCAGUGGCGACAACUUUGGUCCAAGAGAGAGAACCUCGCUCAGUUGUACCUUGGAAUGAGAUAGUGAGGUUGCAUGGCGUGCCCUACUUCGAUAGUAUCCGACUCGAGGACCCGAGGUUCGUCUCGCACUUUUGGAGGAGUCUUCAGACGGCCUUUGAGGCACUCAGUUUGCAGUUCAGGCACAUGCGUUCACCCCACAGACAGAUGGUCAAUCAGAGCGCGGACCAUUCAGACUCUAGCGACAUGCUGAGGGCCCUUGUCCUGGAACUUUGGAGGAGGGUGUAUUCGGCAUUGAAGACUGGUUUUGCUGUAAUACUUCGAACUUUCGCAAACUGUGAAAUCUGGGGUUGGAAUAUGUGAUUGGAACUCUUCUACAACUUUUGUAAGGAUUCUUGAGAGGCUUCACGCAAAUUAACUGGAGGCAAGCAGAUAACUGGAAAUGAAGUGCAUUGAAAUUGCAUUAUUCUUUUUCCAAUGGCUCUGAAAUUGGUCAUUAACGAAUUUCGAAUUGUGGGAAUGGUAAAUGAAACGCACCCUACAUAUCUAAAGGGUUUGGAACACUAGUUUUUGGAUCAAGUUGAGGGUGAUUUGAAAAGUUAAAGCAAGAUAAGGUGGCAUUUGCCAUGAGCGAAAUUCGCAUUUCUGCAAUUGGUGUACCGGGUACAAGACAUCACCACUGUACGCGGUACGCAAGCAGCAGCAGGCAGCAGCUGCUGGCGUGGCUUUGAGGAUAUUUUGGUCUUUUGCUUUGAGCUAUCCCUAAAUCGCUGCCCAGCUCGACCCUCCCGUGGAUAUAAAACCAAGACCAUACCCCUGACUCUGAUACACAGGGUUGACAGGCUUCUUUCCCUCUUUCUUCUCUCUAGGGUUUCUCGUCUCUUCGAGUAAGAAAUCUCGUCGAGUUAAGCGUACUAUUUUCGGACGUUUGUGCACGCGCAUAAAGCUGGUUUGUGUACUUUGGAGCAGCUAUGAGUGGAUGAGAGGACUCGCAUGGGAAGGUAUUUGCAGCUCCAAGUCUCAGGGAAGCUGAAUUGAGAGUCUCGUGAGGUACAACAAAGCUGGUUUCUCCUCUCUAGUUUGAGAUUAGUGAAUAGUUUUUGAUGUUGUCUCAGAUCUUGCUAUCAGCUGCGUUUGAGAUGGUUUUAAAGUCACAAUUGAGGAGUGGUUUUGCUGUAAUUCUUUCACGAGCCCAAAUGUCAGAGUUAAAGCCUUCGAGGUAAUUUAAUUAGAUUUUUCUGCUAUUUCAAUGAUGAAAACGAUGAUAUUAGCGAAGUCAUCGAUGCGAUUUUGGAUUUUGCUAACGCGGUUUUCCAAAUUAAGUUUUGAGCUGAAUUUGGUGACCUUGGACUGGUUUAGAGGGUGUUUUCAACCUGGGUAAGUUGAAAAUUUCAAUUAGAAAUUGAUUAAGUAAGAUUCGUGAUAACUACUACCUAGUAUAACGAAAUAUUUGAUGUCGUUUUGAUGAAUGUUACGACGAGGCUGCGAUUGACUUUCAGAUGUUAAUCUUUGGCUGAGUGAGAGCAAUUAGAGCUUACACUUGAGGUAUAAACUAGCCACAAAUAUAAGGAAUUUUAAGCCUAUUACUUUAUACUAAGCUACAGAGUGUGUGUGCAAUUGGACCAUUUCGUCUGAGUUGAUUGCGGCCUUCCGUGUUUGCGUUUUCAGCAGAGUUGGGGCNNNNNNNNNNNNNNNNNNNNNNNNNUCUAAGAAAGCAAUACCGCCAGGAAGGGCAAUUUAGGGUUUUAGGGUUUAACAGAAAACAAGGGCUACGCUCGCGCGGUGAUGGUGUAUGUCUGUUUCCUCUCCCCGUGCUCUGCAAAAAACCGAACCCCAACACCCCGAUGCAAAAGGACAGCUCUAGAAGCGGUUGCUAGAGGUUCUAGAGAGAGAGCGUUCUAAGAGGGCUUCUGUGAGAGUGGAGAUUGUACGCGGUGGGCGCUUGAAGCCGGCAGAGCGGGCAGAGGCGUGGUGAGGGUAGUGGAAGGAGAGGGAGGUUACCCGCACAUGCCGAGAACAAAAUGUUCCCGCCGCCUCGUACAACGCCAUCCUCAAGCCGGUCCGCGCGGGGUGCCCGCCGAGUUUUUGGCGACGAAGCGUGUUUGUUUGUUUUAGGAGGGAGGUGGAGCGGAGGGGAGGGCGAGGGGAGCGGAUAUGGAACAGCGAGUGAGAAGGCACGAGGUCGGCGCGGGCGGUUUAAUAUUCCGAAAUCGCACUCACGAACUCCUAGCGGAUUCACCACCACCAUCCAAUACAGUGGCGCAGCACCACCCAGAUUGGCUCGAAAUGUUUUAGGCCAAAUCGACCCGCAAUCAGGGCCUCGCAGCUUUAGAGGGUUUGGCAUUUAUUACUCGAAAAGUGAUUUUAGGGUUAAAGUUUUUUUUUUUUUUUUCAAUAGAGGAUUUGAUAAUGAUUUUUUAAAAAUCUAAUGUUUAAUUCUUAGAUAUUAAUUUUUAAUUUCUAGAGAUCUAAAAUGAAGUAUUGAAAAUUUGCUAUUUCCGAUUUUGGACUCAAAUUGUCAAAAUACGAAUUUUUUUUAAUAUCGUUUUCCAUCCCAGCAGGAUUGGCUGUCUGCUUAGCACGGUAACGGCACCAUUGCAGCUUCAUUGUUGAUACGUAGCUGCGUCGAGUGAAUGCGUCAUUAAACUUUCUACUGUAUGCUUAAUUAGUACAAUAGUUAUUUAGUUUUUUUAUUCCUAAUGAGUCUUAAUAGUAUUGUUUUGAAAGUUUAGUGAAAUAUUUAAAAAUAUUGGCCUAUGUAUAAUUAUAUACUCACCAAUUAAGUCUUUAUACGCGUAAAACUUUCUUAUACAUAUAAAGUAAAUUAUAUCCUUUACGAGAAUAAAAAUUAAAAAUACAAUAAAUAAAAAGCUUAAUUCCCACAUAGAUGGUCCGCAGGAUCUAUUAGGCAUAAUUGUCAUCUAGGAUAUCAAAUUAUUGACAAUAUGGAUAUGAUAUUGCUUCGGACUAAUGAGAAAUGUUAUAUAUGCCGGUACAUCUAUUGUGGAGAAAUUGAUUACGGAGUUUCGCAUUUUCUGCCCCUGAUUCUUUGAAACCUUUACGGGCGACAAAUUUUUAGAAAAAUAAUUGUGAAAGAAAAAGCGGAUGUCUAUGGUGGAGCACAAGCUUGGGUUCCGACUCUGUAAUCAAUCAGAUCUAAAAAUUUAAAAAUUUGGAGCUAUAAUAAAAUUUAAACAAGAACUAUUUAACUUUUUUAUAA